GUGGUCUCAAGAACACCUACUCAAGUAGCAAGCCAUGCUCAGAAAUAUUUUAUACGCCAAGCCAAUAUGAGCAGAAGGAAGAGAAGGUCUAGCCUCUUUGACUUGGUGCCUGAUGAGGUAGGUUGCUACAUCUUAUGAUUAAUUAUUACACCUGUGUGGCAUAACUUGACCUGAUUCUGUUUAUGUAGUACCGCAAGGGGAUUACUCGUUUCUGUGGUGGUAGUUACAAUAUCACUACCUUAGUUCCUCAUGCUAGAAAUCUAUCUUUUUGAACAGAUUGUGUAGUGUUGCAUGGACAGUUGUGCACUUCUCAUCUCGCAUUUCAUUAGGAAGAUAUUACUUUGCACUUUGUAUAUAACUCAGAACUGAACGGUAUCUUGUGUAUUUUACAGUCAGACCUGCCACCCCUACCUGGUAAUCAAGAACCUGAGGCCCAGAUAUUAAAUCACCCACCAUUACCUCCACCCAUGGAGGAGGAGGAGGUAGAAUCUAUGGAGUCAGAUACUUCUGUCAUUGCAGAGAGUUCUUCAGCUUCUGCUAUCAUGCCUGAGAAUUUGCAGUCGAGCUAUCCGGUGCUAGUUCCAGCAUAUUUCUCACCAUUCUUGCAAUUCUCAGUUCCUUUCUGGCAAAAUCAGAAUGAUGGAGAUGAUCUUGGACAAGGAACACAUGAGAUUGUUAAGCCUGUUCCGGUUCAUUCAAAGAGUCCAAUCAAUGUUGAUGAACUGGUGGGCAUGUCGAAGCUAAGCAUAGGGGAUCCCAAGCAAGAUACAGUAUCUACCUCUCUUUCCUUAAAAAUGGUAGGAGGUCAAAAUAGACAAUCGGCUUUCCAGGCGAAUCUCCCAACGAGGGCUCAGGCGUGAGCCCCCUCAGCACACAAACUGCACUUAGAUGAGCCCUGGCAAAAAUAAGCUUUGCCUCUUUUCCUUUUCUUUUCUUUUUAAGAUUAACUGUGGUCUGUAGUCUGUCCAAUGUACCCUGUGUUGUAAGUUAUGUUAUGUAUGGAUGCAUCUGUUGUUUGUAUGGUACAUGAUAUGCCAGUGCAUGUUGACAGAAUCAUUAAUGUUAGUGCUGAUCUCCAGGGUUGUACUGCAAACUCUUAUAUAAGAAAAAGAAAUAUCAGUCAGUUAUUGGACCUUUGAAGUGAGCUCUGCUCAUUCUGUUCAAUACAAUGUUCAUUACUGAAUGAUGAAUCAAUGUCUUCAGAUUUUGUCCGGAUACUGGAAAUUUGGAGCUGGCCAUCCAGUCACUCAAGACCUUAUGGUUGAAAGAAGCCAUGCUAAAUAUUUUACCAAUGAGUGCUGCAUGAUUUUAUUCUUAUUUGGUUGGCAUGUGUCUAUAUGGUUUAAUGUAUUUGUGGCAAGAACAAACGGAUUAUUGGAUUCUCCUUCGGGACAGAUGCUAUAUCUGGGAUAUUCCCUGGGACUGUACCUUUCAAUCCUGAUUCUGCAUUUGCACUCACCUCCAUUAUGCACCAAGUGUUCCAAGUGUGGUUGGUGACAGACAGUAGUGGCUAGUGGCCAGUCCCUUUCAGAUAUAUCGACAUAUUUCCAAAGCUGUUGGGCUGUGCACGAAUGCAUUGUUUGGCCAUCCAAGGACCUGUCACUUUUACAUCUUUAGCAAAAGUCAUAAUGCAUAAUCAGAGAAUCCAGCCCCUCUGAGAGACUGUUCACUUAUAUAUUUUUUUCUCUGAAAUUCAAAAGUUACUUCAUAUCAAUACUUCCACCGUUUGAAAUGGCCAUAUGUGGGAACUGGCAGCAGCUGCUGCAGGCCUGUCAGGCAACACAAUUAGAUGCAACCAUACUUACAAACUUAUCUGCUAAUCAAAAUCCUGUACUAUGUUUUCCCUUGCAGGUCUGAUGGAAAUACAUUCAAGUUCAGAAGUCGCUAGGAGCUCGGGAGUUGAUUUUCCUUUCUCGCCUCUCCUUUAAUCCUUUUCCUCCUCUUCCUUAUCCUCUUCCUCCCCAACAAUCUUCUUCCAGAACCAAUGCCUCCUCCAGACCUGCUCCAUCUGCUCCAUCGGAAGCUUCUUUGUCUCUGGCAAGAACAGAUAGACCACUAGCGUCAUCACGCAAAUCCACGCGGCAAAAACGAAGAACGUCCCUGACUUGAUGCGGCAGAGGACGGCCAGAAAUGUCUGGCCGAUCACAAACGUCAUCAAGAAGACCACGGCGACCACAAUGCUCUGCCCUGCUGAUCUAAUCUCCAGUGGGCAGAUCUCGGUCGGGACGAGGAAUGUGAGAGGUCCCCAUGACCAUGCAAAGCCUGCCACAAACACGCACAUGGUGAUCAACACAAGGAAAGCAUAGUCCUUAUCCAUCAACCCAUCGUCCUUGAACUUUGCGGCUAGGAUGGCGCCGACAGCGAGCUGUGACAAGAUCAUCUGGAUACCACCUACGAGGAAGAGCUUCCUGCGCCCAAACCUGUCGACCACCAACAUCGCUACGAUGUUAGCAAAUGUUGCGCAGAGACGUGUGACGACCGAUGAUAGGAGGGAGGCGCUCUCCUUGAGGCCGAUUGUCCGGAACAUCACUGGGGCAUAAAAGUUCAUCACAUUGAUCCCAGUGAGCUGGUUGAAGAAAGGGAUCAGCAGUACCAUGGCGAGCUGUGGCCUGUACUUCCUCUUGAAUAUGUUUCUGAAUGGAUAUUUUGCUGCCCUCGAGAGGUUGCUAGCAGAGACCAAGUCAUCCAGCUCAUUCUGCACUGAGGUGGUUCCACGCAGCUUCUGGAGCAGGGCUCUAGCCUUGUCGGUGUCGCCGUCCCGCUGGAUUAUGAAGCUUGGCGUCUCGGGGAGGAAGAUUGCACCGAUGGUCAGGAAUGCAGCAGGGACUGCGGCCAUGGAUAGGGAUAUCCUCCAGCCCCACCCUGCUGUGAGUUUCACCACGCAGUAGUUGAGGAUGUUUGCAAUGAGAAUGCCGAUGCUGAUGCUGAGCUCGAACCCAUUGUUGAUCGCACCGCGGUACUGCGGCGGCGCCAUUUCCGACAGGUACAAUGGGAUCGACUGGAAGAAAAAUAAGUAACAGUAACCACAGUAAGGUAUUUAGUCUACUUCACAAUGUAUAUUUAGAGAAAGAAAAAUAUUAUCCAUAAACAUCACAUGCACUUGCUACAAGAUAACACAGCUUAUCGUGUAGUCAAAUGCAACGAUUCUUUGGGAUUUGGGAGACAGACAUGUAAAUUGUCAUUGUAAACAUGUAGCUAUCCAUUGUCAUCAACUUGGAGUUUGGGACAAAUUACAUCUACAGGAAUCUUAUGUCUGUACACAAAGCUUGUGUCACUGCUUCUCCAGCUCCAUACAGCCGCACAAAAUUUGUGAACUGAUGCAGGGUCCGGGAGGAUGAUCUUUCUAUUAUCCAAAAGAAAUGUAUACAUGUCUGACGAUAUUUCGCUGUGCUACUGAUUUUUUUUAAUCUCCUGAGCCACAUGUACACACUGACUUAAAGGAUCAUUGGCUUGAAUUGUUGCAGAGAGAGUUACCUGGUUAGUGAACCCUAGGCCUAUUCCCAGUAGGAUCCGGUUGAGGAGCAGCAUGGGUACGUUCACGGCUGCUCCCCCGAACGCCGAGCCGGCAAUGAAGACGGUUCCACCGAUCAGCAUGGACACGCGGCGGCCAAACCUCCUCGUGACAGAUGACGCGAACAGCGUUGCGAUGAGGCCGGCGAUGUAGAGGGAGGAGGUGAAGACGGUGAGGAGCUCGCUGUCGAACUGGCAGUAGUUGCUGACGUUGCUGUCCUGCUUGUGGCGGUACACCUCCGGGAAGAACGUCUUCAGAAAUGAGUCCAUGGAGGUGACACCACCUGGAAAAAUUCAGAACCGCAUGCAUUCAGUUUCAGGGAAUUUGGAAGAAUGCAUACGCAGAACUAAAGUUCAUCGCGUAAUGUUGACCGAAUCCAUUGCCCAAUGAUGGACUAAACGCAUGAUUCUUUUCCUUUUCUAUAAUCCCUCUAAAAGGCCUAGUCCUAGAUCAUUUUGACCUGACGAAAAAUGGAACAGAGGAAAGCACCCUGAACUCAUCAGCUUUUGUGUCCCAAUGAUGGAAGAGAAAAUCUGCACCACCACGAGGCACUGAAGCCAUGGAUGCACCACAAGUAAGCCAUGAAUGCCACCCGCAAAAAAAAAAAAAGCGCCAUGAAUGCCAUUUUAAUCCCUUCCAACUCCAGCUUCUAACUUUCAGUUCUCAUAUUCCUUUCCCGUUGAGCCCAAGAGGGUUAACAAUCUACUCUAGAAAGAAGGGAAGAAGACAGGCGGACCGGAGAUGCCGAGGUCGUAGCCGAAGAGGAUGCCGCCGCUGCCGGCGACGAUGCAGGUCAGCACCACGAACGGCGUCACCCGGCCGCUGUACCCGCCGGAGCCGGCGGCCGGCGCGUCCACGGACGCGCCCAUCGCCAUCACUCCCUGCCCUUGCUCUCCUAUUCCUAGUCCAAGAGCAGAGUGUCGUUUCGCCGGAGAGAGGGAGGGAGAGAAAGAGGAUAUAUAAAUUUAUCGGCGGAUGGAUCGCUGACGUGCGCCCACUCCGGCGAAAAAACGGCCGCACGUCGCCGGCGAGGUUGACUGAUACUAACCUUUGACUACCUCUGGGGUCCCACUCGUCGGUGGUCCUGCGGAUUCCUUUUUUUCUUCAGCGGUGCCCUGUGGAUUCUGGGGUUUCGAUUUUGUUGCUGGUGGAAAUGAUAUGAGCAGGCCCACUUGAGCCCAACUAAUUACUAGAUGGGCCAGGACCCAGGAGGUAGCUCGGUUACUCACUUGGUAUCGGAUGCCUUCCUCAAAAAAAAAAAAAAAAAAAACUUGGUAUCGGAUGCAACCGUAAGAUCCGAUCGAUCUGCCGGUGGCCGCCGGCGAGAUGGACCUGCCGGCGAACCGCGGUCGGUGGCGCAGGCGGAGCGCACGGUCGCACGUGCCGCUACUCGUGGCCAUCUUUUUCCUCCUCCUUCCGGCAUCCCUCCUGCUCUCCUCCGCCUACUCCUCCCUGCUCCGCUCCCUCCUCCCCUUCUCCGCCUCCGCCCCCGGCACUGGCGGCGGCACCCUGAGGUGUGGGCGCUCGGCGGAGCUGGAGGGAGAGAGGUUCCUGUGGUACGCGCCGCACAGCGGGUUCAGCAACCAGGUGGGCGAGCUGCGGAACGCUGCGGUGGCGGCCGCGCUGCUCAACCGCACCCUCGUCGUGCCCCCCGUGCUCGACCACCACGCCGUCGCCCUCGGGAGCUGCCCCAAGUUCAGGGUCGCCGAACCCUCCGAUCUCCGAGCCGCCGUCUGGGACCACGCCAUGCAGCUCCUCCGGGAGCAGAGGUAAAGCCCAUACCACACCUUCUCUGCGUUGCGUCUGCCCGGUUUACUGAUUGUUUGGAAGAUCACGAUAUUCUUUAGUAAAAUCAAUCAUGUUGCGAGAUAUUAGAGCUUCAUUACAAUGUUAACAAUGCAAACACCAAAAUGUAAGAAUGCUAGGCAAUUUUCAUGAUUUAGAAUCACACUGAUUCUUUUUCGUAAUUGAUGGAGACUCCAGUACGGUGAGAUUGCUGCCAAGAGGAGUUUGAAUAUAUAGAUGUAAUGUGGUUGUUACACACUUACACUGGCAGAGUACUCACUUUUCUGAUUAGCACAAUAGUGAUAUAAUUUUUCUAGUUUGCUGUGUUCAUAAUAGGUUUCCAUGUUCACCUUUUACGCUUCAGGUAUGUUUCGAUGGGUGACAUAGUUGAUCUGUCCCCACUGAAGCCUUUGGUUAAGACAAUUGAUUUCAGGGUGUUUGUUUCAUUAUGGUGCGGUGUAGAUAUGCGGAAAACUUGCUUUUCUGGGUUGUGCUGUUCUGUUUCUGGUGGUGGAUCAUUGCCAAGUGACUAUGACAGAUGCCGAUCUUUGCUGUCUGGUUUAGAAGGCAGUGAAAGUAGUGGUUGUGUGUAUCCUGUUCAGGAUGAUUGUAGAACAACGGUCUGGACAUAUCAGGAGAAUAAUGAUAGAGCACUGGAUUCGUUUCAACCAGAUGAAGAGUUAAAAAGGAAGAAGAGGAUAUCAUAUGUUAGGAGGCGUAAAGAUAUAUACAAGAGUUUAGGGCCUGGUAAUAAAGCUGAGGAUGCUACCUUGUUGGCCUUCGGGACACUUUUUUCAGCACCAUACAAGGGAUCAGAGUCUUAUUUUGAUAUCCAUGAAUCACCAAAGGAUCAUAGAUUACAGAAUCUACUUGAGAAAAUUGAGUUCCUUCCUUUUGCCCCAGAGAUCAUGGCUGCAGGGACGGAGCUUGCUAAGAGCAAGAUUAAGGAGCCUUUUCUUUGUGCGCAACUAAGAUUAUUAGAUGGCCAAUUUAAGAAUCACUGGAAAUCUACCUUUUCUGCCCUUAAGGAGAAGCUGAAAUCUCUUGAGGUGGAAAUGAAGACAAACAAGAACAGUGGUUCUGUUCACAUUUUCCUCAUGACUGAUCUUCCCAGAGCAAACUGGACGAAAACCUAUCUCGCAGAUAUUGCAAAAGAUGGGAAAUAUCAACUGUACACCCUCAAGGAAAAUGAUGUUCUGCAGACUGCCGAGAAGCUUAUGGCUGCUGAACAUGGCAUAAGGUCUGGAUUCCUUCCAGAGAUCAGAGGAAACACGAACAAGGAUUGUGAUCCAGUUCAACUACCGGAAAUUUUAUUAUACGUCGAAGAAUCUGUUUGCAGCUGUGCAUCACUCGGAUUUGUGGGGACUGCUGGAUCAACCAUAGCAGGAAGUAUAGAAACAAUGAGGAAGAACAAUGUGUGCAAAUUGUAGGAGAACUACAUCAUUUGUGCAAGCUGCCAGAAAACUAACCGAUGCUACUUAACGAGUUAAUUCAGUGGGGGCUGUUGCACUACAGAGAGCUGAAUCAUUGCAGACUAGAGACUGGGAAACCAGUUUCAUGCUCAGGUUCUACGACCCUACAAUGUUGAGCAUCUACAGCGGUAUAUUAAAAUUCAAACCACUCUCUCUCUUUUCCUUUGUUUCAGUUGCCUAGAUAGACAAGGUUCAUUGUCUGCGAGCUGUGCCUAAAUUAUGUUGCAUUUCAUCCUCCAAUUUUGUGAUGACAGGCGAGGACAGAGAUAGCUUGUGUAGACGACUGUUGGAAUUGAACAGAUUUCAUGGGCUCUCUUCUUGUUACAGAUUCAUCAUCCAUGCAUGUCCUUGUUUAGCAAGUUUUUUUUAUAAGGAAAUGAGUGAAGAAAACUAACUAUUUGUGUAUAUCUAACUGUACUGUGAUGCACAACUUACAGUGAUAAACAAGCUGUAGUAGUCCCAGAAGCUUGGCUUAGCUAGAAAUCAUCAUUUGCUAGUGAGUUAUUCAGUUAUUUCUAUCAAUAGAAACUUCUACCCCUUGAUGCUGCGUCUCACACAUAAUUAUACACUUAUAUUUUGACUGUUGAUCAAAUUGCAACACUUCUUUUUUCUUUUCUUGAAAAUGAGUUAAUCUCGAUUCUCUUUUGGCUAAGAUUUUCAACUCUGUAGGCUUAGGCUUGCGAUCAAUCACCGUAGGAACAUUCUGGCGUACAGUUAUUCUACAGUAUGACAUGUCUAGGACCAUAUAUACAUGCAUUAUGGCUUGCCAGUCCAUGCAUUAUGGCUUGCCCCAAAGUCAACAAAGGCGCCACAUGCCUGUGACUUACUGCGAUGGAAGUUCUACCAGGCAACCACUUAGUUGUUGACAGUAGCUACUAUGGCAACCCCUUAUCACUAUAAAGGGAGGCCUGAGCUAUCUAGAUCAGGGUUGGGCUGAAAACAGUUUGGAUGUUAGAAUAGGAAGAAACCCCAUAUAUGGUACUGCAUUUCCUAGUACCGGCAAGGCCGGGUAAUGUAAAGCACACCUUGUAACAAAUGUUCAUCACAACCAUCAAACCAACCAAGCAGGGCGUAGGGUUUUACGCUUUAGAUCAACCCAAACAUGUGUAAAAUCAUUGUGUCACUUAGGUGGGACUCGUUCAUCUCUUUGCCCCUCACCGAACCAAAUAAGGUGAGCACCCUAGCUCCCGGGUCUUGUGCAUCAAGCCAUGGCAUGGAUAUUCCAAUGAAUAACAAAUAUAGGUUAGAUUACGUUGUUACAUAGUCGGAUAUUCUUGUGAUAUUUGGACCUGAUUUUUGAAACAUUUAUCUUAUUUUGGCUGCCAGAUUGCAUACAACCUUCGAUGGAGAUGACCAAAAAUCAAAUUUGUUUGCUUUAAUUAUAUGAAGAACAUUCAUGAUAAAAGGGUCCCAUUUUAGGCCGACUUAAUUGUUAUUUCUGAUGUCAGUAGAAUUGAACCCAAAAUGUCGUUCGACACUCGACAGUCUAACCCUGCAAUAUUCUAAUCUUGUCUGGUGGAUUUAUUGAAUGUUAAACCGGCCAAAAUAUUGUCCAAGAUAUGGUGCAGUUUAAAAGCUAAGUUUGGUUCAAUACGUGAUUCGAAUUUUAGUUAAGGGGCAUGACGGCGUAUUGAUAAAUCGGUUGACAUGGAUACAAAUAUGCAAACAUAAAUUUGUUGCCUAUUACAACUUUAUUUGUAACUCACAUGAGGAAUUUGUAAAGAAGCAUGGGUAGUUCAUUAAGGAGGUGCUCAGAUGAUUAGAGUGCAAUCCAAGUAUAUCAAUUUGUCUUUUGAGGGGUCUUGUUUAGUGUGGGACAACAACAGUAGGGUCGGUUAGCUUGACGCUGGCAAUACCCCUCACCGCCACACUGACUCAUGCAGGAUGGAGAAUUACAUCCCCUCAAUGGAGAACACCGAAUUCCCAUAGGUUGCAUCGCCGCCUUCAUCCCUCCUUCACACAUCACACAAUUUCCAAGCACCACAAGAACAUCACAAUCAAAAUAGAUGACUCAACCUUAUAUUAACUUUUGUAUAAACAUAGUAUAAGGUUGAGUCAUCUAUUUUAGAACGGAGGGAGUAGAAUCCAUGUCAAAUUUUAUGUGAAAUAGGCUAUUAUAGAUGACGAUAAGCAUUACAUACUGAUAACAUCUCUGGAUGAGUAGGAGGAUGAGACAAGUAAAAGUGCAACAAGAAGGGCAAGAAGAAACAACGAGCUUGACUUCUUGAGAAUGGCCAUUGUGCUAACUGCGGUCGGAUAUUUUCUUUGCUUCGUACUAGUGAUUCUUUGAGUUUGCUCAUCUAGUGGACAACCAUUAUAUAGGAUUUUCAGAUGAUGAAUCCGUAUGUAAUUUGAUUAAUAAAUGUAAAUAUACCUUCGUACCAAUCUUUCGACCAAGCUGUAAUGAGUUCCCUUCUUUGGUGUCCUUUUAUAUUAAGACUAUCAUGGCUAACCAUAUUUGGUUUUCUUAUUUUUGGUAUGGUCAUUCAUGGCUAUCCUGGAUUUUCAGGAACUCAUAAAAUAUAUAGAUAAACUCUCUAAUGUUUUGGGAUACUACAACCUAGUCCAACUACCGGUGUUAUUUAUUAGCAUAUGUCAUGUAUAUACCAUCUACGUAUUUGUAUUUAUAUGCUAUCAUUUUUCUGCUUAAUUUUCAUCAUUGAAUAAUAAGUUGGAAUAUGAAUAUGUUCAUGUUCAAUUAGCUUGCUUCUUUGUGAACACAACAAUAUGUAUUUUGAUGUACGGCCUUUAAUAUUGACAGAUGAAAUUCACCUCCAUUAGGCACAAAAUACUAAAUAUCUUAAUUUGCAUAAUCCAAGAAUAAUUCUAUUGCAAAACAAUAAAGUGAUUUUAUGUUAAUUUUUAUUUGUGAAUCACAAUGUAAGGAAUCACUGGCAUCUACAACUUACACUAGUACAACUAUGGCCUAUGCACAUGAUUGAAGCUACCCAUCGCAUAGAGCUUUGGGUUGGCGAUCGGGGGUGGCAUCACAUACCCUAACAAAAUGUGUGCGAUGGGAUGGGUGUUCCAUAAUAGCCCGCUAUAGAGAAUCAGGUGCGAUUCCAGGAAGGACCGCACACAUAGGGAAAACUAAAAUUGUUUGUGAUGUGUAAUAUUUCCUUGAUAUUUUCCUUGUUAGCAAUUGUGUCUGAUGGUGUUAUCUCUAUGGGGAACAACUUAGUAGUGGCGCCCCUUAUUUGACCUGUGCUACUGCUACUUUGUAGUAGAGUGGAUGCAAACUCCGCGCCACAGGUGUUAGGGCAUAUUUCUCCCUAAGUGGUUUUGGUGAUUGAUGACAACAUGUUUGCGGACUAAUCGUGUGCAUUGAGCUUUUUCAGUAUAUCAAGCAUAUGGCACAAAAUGAUUAGUGCCCCUCGGAGUUUCAAGAGAAGACAAUUUUCUUUCCCGCAUUUCUUUUCUGUUGGACUUGAGUCGUAGGGAAAACCGUACUAUCAAGAGGGGUCCGCAUCGGAAAGGUUUGGGUGGAAUCAUCACGUACACACUCAUAUAGCACCCACCAAUAAUUUCCGUUCAUUUGGAGUUGUCCUCCGGUUGCAUCAAAGGAGGGGAGAAGAGCCACAAGCGGUAGUACCGCUGGCUUCAGUGGUACUACCGCUGCCCAUAGGCGGUAGUACCGCUGCAACCACCACACGCACUACCGUUCGUGGAUGGGGCCUCAAGAUCUACGGUGGUUCCUUCGGGUACUACCGUGGUACUCGUUUGUCCCCAGUAAAUUGGACGGAUGUGGUAGCGGUAGUUAGGGCGGUAGUGCCGCCUGUAGGCGGUAGUACCACUCCUACUACCACGGCUACCACUGCUCGAUGCUUUGUUUUCUCCCCUGUUUUUCCCCGUCUCCUGUGCUGAAAGUGCAACUAAUCCCUGGGUGGUUUUGGUAAUUCUUAACAACAUAUAGCUCAUUGAACUAAUAUUCUUUCAAGGUAAUCAUUUCAGAAAGUUCAAUGAUUGGCAUGGCAUGGACUAAGAGAUGUGGACCCCUCAAAAUGCUAAGGACACAUAUUGGCAAAAGCUCAAGACUCUACAUUUUCAUUUUAGUGAUCCAAGAUCACAUUGAGUCCAUAGGAAAAGCCAAUACUAUUAAAAGGGGAUGAGGUUUUGCUUAAUGGCUUGCUUGCUCAAAAUGCUUAGUGAUAUGCUCCAAAAGCCCUCAACCACUUCCUCAUUUCCACAUAUGUCCUAAACCUAAAGUCAAACUUGGCCCCACCGAUUUGAUAUAUCCGAUGCCACCGAGUUCACUUGACAUAGCCACUGCCAGAAACCCUAAUCAAUUCGGUCUCACCAAUAGCGAUCUCGGUCUCACCGGGAUGGGAUUGCAAACUCUCUGUUUCCCUUCGUAACAUUUCGGUCUAAUCGAGAUGAGCGAUCGGUCCCACCGAGUUGGCAAUGCAAACUCUUUGUUUCCUUUUCGUAACGUUUCGGUCUCACCGAAAUGAGCGAUUGGUCCCACCAAUUUUGCCUGACCAAGUCUUUAUUUGCUUAUUACUGAAAUCGGUCUCACCGAGAUGAAGUUUUGCCCUAACCCUAGCACAUCGGUCCCACCGAGUUGAUCAUGUCGGACCCACCGAAAAGCCUAACGUUCACACUUUGAACCAUAUCGGUCUGACUGAGUUUCACUAUUUGGUCCCACCGAGUUUGGUAAAUUGUGUGUAAUGGUUAGAUUUUGUGUGGAGGCUAUAUAUACCCCUCCACCCAAUCUCCAUUCGAGGAGAGAGCCAUCAUAAUGUGCCUACACUUCCAGCAUUCAUUUUCUGAGAGAGAACCACCUACUCAUGUGUUGAGACCAGGACAUUCCAAUCCGACCACAAGAAUCUUGAUCUCUAGCCUUCCCAAGUUGCUUUCCACUCAAAUCAUCUUUCCACCAUAUCCAAAUAUGUAAGAGAGAGUUGAGUGUUGUGGAGACUAUCAUUUGAAGCACAAGAGCAAGGAGUUCAUCAUCCACACACCAUCUAUUACCUUUUGGAGAGUGGUAUCACCUAGAUUGGUUAGGUGUCACUUGGGAGCCUCCGUCAAGAUUGUGGAGUUGAAUGGACUUUGUAAGGGCAAGGAGAUCGCCUACUUUGUGAAGAUCUACCCAAAUGAGGCAAGUCCUUCAUGGGCGAUGGCCAUGUUGGGAUAAGCAAGGUUGCUUCUUCGUGGACCCUUUGUGGGUGGAGCCCUCCGUGGACUCGCGCAACUGUUACCCUUCGUGGGUUGAAGUCUCCAUCAACGUGGAUGUACGAUAGCACCACCUAUCGGAACCACGCCAACAAUCUCCGUGUCUACAUUGCGUUUGCUCCCUCCAAACUCCUCCCCUUUACCUUCAUAUGCAAUGAUUUGCAUUCCGCUGCUAUACUCUUAGAAUUGCAUGUGUAGGUUUAUUGCUUGACUUGUGUUAAGUUGCUAAAAUCUGCCAAGACUUAAAAUUGGGAAAAGGCUAGAUUUUUAUUUGGUCAAGUAGUCUAAUUACCCCCCUCUAGACAUACUUUCGAUCCUACAAGUGGUAUCAGAGCUUUGGUCUCCAUUUGCCUUGAUUUCCAUAGCUUUGGUGAUCAUAGCCUUGGUUUCAUAACCUAGGAGAGUAUGGCGUCUAGCGAGGGAAAUUACCACCGUAGAGGUCCUUACUUUGAUGGUACUAAUUUUUCUAGUUGGAAGCAUAAGAUGAAAAUGCAUAUUCUUGGACAUAACCUCGUCGUUUGGGCUAUUGUGUGCAUUGGUUUGCAAGGUGAAUUCUUUGAUGGAAGGGAACCGAAUCAUUAAGCAACCGCUGAAGAAUUGAAGAUGUUGCAAUACAAUGCUCAAGCUUGCGAUAUCCUCUUCAACGGAUUAUGCCCCAAAGAAUUCAACAAAAUCAGCCGUCUUGAGAAUGCAAAGGAAAUUUGGGAUACUUUGAUUGAUAUGCACGAAGGUACCGACUCUGUCAAGGAAUCCAAAUUGGAUGUGCUUCAAAGUCUUGACAAGUUCAAAAUGAAGGAUGGUGAAGGUGUCGCUAAAAUGUACUCUAGGCUUGCUCUCAUCACAAAUGAGAUUGCCGGCUUAGGAAGUGAAGAGAUGACCGAUAGAUUCAUCAUCAAGAAGAUCCUAAGAGCCUUGGAUGGAAAAUAUGACACCGUGUGCACCUUGAUCCAAAUGAUGCCCAAUUACAAAGAUCUCAAGCCAACGGAAGUCAUUGGUAGAAUUAUUGCUCAUGAGAUGUCACUCAAGGAUAAAGAAGAGCUUCACAACAAGUCUAGUGGUGCUUACAAAGCCUCAUGUGAUGCUCCUACAUCAUCAAGUGAGAAACAAGCUUUCAAAGAAGAAUUGAGCUUAAUGGUGAAGAACUUCAACAAGUUCUACAAGAGUAGAAGCAAAGAAAGAAGUUCCAGGUCAAGAUCCUACAAUGACAAAAGAUCUUAUAGUCGUGAGCGUAAUUGCUACAAUUGUGGAAGACCCGGACACUACUCCAAUGAGUGUACAACUCCCUACAAAAGAAGAGAAGACUCACCUAAAAGGAGAAGCAAAAGAGAAGAAUCACCUCCAAGGGAGAGAAGGAGUAGAGAUGACCGUUAUGAACGAAGAACCUCUCGCAGAAGCAAGGAUUCAGAAAGAAAGGACAAGUCAUCAAGGAGCUAUACAAAACGAAGACAUCAAGCUCAUGUUGGUGAAUGGGUAUCCGGUUCCGACUCCGACCACCACUCCGAGAGAAUUUAUCACUCCGACUCCGAAUAUACUCAAGAUGAAGGUGUUGCCGGUCUAGCACUUGUGUCAACCAACUCCUAUGACAUAUUUGACUCACCAAAUGAAGGAAUUGGAAGAUGCUUCAUGGCUAAAGGCCCAAAGGUAUCACACCCCGAGUAUGUUGAUUUUAGUAGUGAUGAAGAUGACUUGCUAGGUGAUGAUGAUUUACUUGUUGACAACUCUAGUAAUGAAAACUAUGAUGAACUUGCUAUUAAUCAUGCUAAUCAAGAUAAAACGAAUGAUGAUGAUAAGAAGGAGAUUGAGCGUCUAACUAAAGAACUAAACACUCUUAAUUUAGCUCAUGAAACUACCUUAGAAUAUCACCGAGAGCUUUUAAAGACUCAUGAGAAGCUACGCUUUGAAAUGCUCAACCUAGAGCAAGAGCAUGGGUUCUUAAAAUCAAUCAAUGAUCUUCGUUAGAAAAGUUCUUCUUACAUUGCCAAGCGUUUACUCUUGUCUACUUACAUGCCACAAGUAAAAUCUACCAACAAGAGUAAGAAAGAUUCUUCUUCUAGUAGUAACAAUAAUCAUGCUAAAUCCAAUAUUGUUGCUUCUGGUAGUUCUCUUGAUUCCACUAAUGAUUCUCUUAGCCAAGUUACACUUGAGCAAGAAAAUAGUUUAUUGAAGAGAAGUAGAGAAAGGUGUUUACAAGAGCCUUGCCGGAAGUAAGCAAUUUGAGGAAAUUGUAUGCAAGCAAGGAAGGCACGGGAAGAAUCAAGGUGUUGGUUUUGAACGCAAGUUCAAUACCAAUGGAGUUGAGUGGGAAGAAGAUCAAUACCCCAAGACGAGGUUUGUUCCUCAACAAGAGAAGUAUGAUCCUACAUCCUUCAAAGGGACAGAAGCUCAAGAUGAUCUUCCACCACAAGACCAUAAGCUCAAAGGCAAAGGACAAGCUUCAAGAGGAGAUUGAUGCAUUUGACGAAGCUCCUAAGGCCUUGGUCAAGUGGGUUCCCAAGACUACAUCAAGUUCUACUUCAUUAAGUACGAAUAAAACUCCAAGGAUUCCCAUCAAGAUGAUGUGGAUCCCCAAGAAGAACUAGAGAGUUCUUGAGGGUGACCCUGCCAACACACUUCACUCAUAUUCAUUUUUAGCAAGGACAAGUGCAAACAACUUUCACAUCUUGCACUAGUUCAAGGAGUCACAAACCCUCUUGUUGGUAAGUCAAGGGACAAGGUAACCUAAUGCUUUCAUGGACAUCAUCUUGUGUGUACUUCAUUCUAUGUCUAUGGAUAUCCUUGUUUGUUCCUUGUGGGACUAACCCAUGUAGGUAUUGAAAGUGCAACUCACUCCAACGGAUUGCUCCAAAUGAUCUACAUCAACAUUGAGCAUCCACAUCUUCAACAUCUACAUGAAGUCAUCAUCGACAAAACCCAAUGUUAGUUCAUCCCUCUUAGGGGGGAUAUCACAUCUAGGGGGAGCUUUGCUCUAAGAAUUGAGCUAAAGCAACUCUAAUGGUGUGAACACACCAAUGCUUUAUGUAAAAGGGGUAACCCCACUUGUGCUUAAACGAUGAGUAUGACCUACGAUCAAAUGUUCUCAUUUGACUCCUCAGUCAAUAUACUCAUAUAUAGAUGACUUAGUCAUCGCCAAUUGCUUGAUAGAUUCUAGAGUGUUUGUGCAUGCUUUGCCACAUAUUUCAUUUGCCAUCUUAUUGUGUGAGCAUGUUGAGUGCAUAUUUUUCUCAUUCGAGGACAUCCAUUUGUUGCUUUGAUUGUUUGGUCUUUUCUUUUGCCAAAUGGAUGAACAAGAAUGCCUAAGACCUCCCUCUAGCUAUCUAUGCUUUUCUCGUCUCAAACUCUAUUCAUGCUACAUCACAAAGUUUGAUCAAGUUGGAUUCGAACCCUCUGGGUGAGGAACACUUGGAGCCACCGAUUCGUCAUAGACUUAAACUUCCAAAACCUCUCUAUGUAUUUCGGCCUAACCGAUUCAUUCCUUUCGGCCAAACCGAGUUCAUUGAGUUGAUCUAGGUUUCAAUCUCGGUGCAACCGAUUUGAACAAUUCGGUCACACUGAGUUGCAGUAAUCGCUUGCGAUUCUGCAUCUCGGUGCCACCGAGUCAUUCCACUCGGUCACACCGACAGGGUCUGGAUAUAUAUAUAUACCACGGGUCAAAUUUUGGAAAUUUCUCCGAAACUGUUCGCCCGUGCAUAUCCAGCUCUGCCGACUCGAGGUCUCCGGAUCGUCUCCUCAUCGCCAGCGGCCCCCUGCCGCUGGUCUCCACUACCGUCAAAGCUUUGAUCUAUAUGUUGUCAUCAAUUAUCAAAAAGGGGGAGAUUGAAAGUGCAACUAAUCCCUGGGUGGUUUUGGUAAUUCUUAACAACAUAUAGCUCAUUGAACUAAUAUUCUUUCAAGGUAAUCAUUUCAGAAAGUUCAAUGAUUGGCAUGGCAUGGACUAAGAGAUGUGGGCCCCUCAAAAUGCUAAGGACACAUAUUGGCAAAAGCUCAAGACUCUACAUUUUCAUUUUAGUGAUCCAAGAUCACAUUGAGUCCAUAGGAAAAGUCAAUACUAUUAAAAGGGGAUGAGAUGUUGCUUAAUGGCUUGCUUGCUCAAAAUGCUUAGUGAUAUGCUCCAAAAGCCCUCAACCACUUUCUCAUUUCCACAUAUGUCCUAAAGCUAAAGUCAAACUCGGCCCCACCGAUUUGAUAUAUCCGGCGCCACUGAGUUCACUUGACAUAGCCACUGCCAGAAACCAUAAUCAAUUCGGUCUCACCGAUAGGGAUCUCGGUCUCACCAAGAUGGGAUUGCAAUCUCUCUGUUUCCCGUCGUAAUGUUUCAGUCUAACCGAGAUGAGCGAUCGGUCCCACCGAGUUGGCAAUGCAAACUCUCUAUUUCCUUUUUGUAACGUUUUGGUCUCACCGAAAUGAGCGAUCGAUCCCACUGAGUUUGCCUGACCAAGUCUCUGUUUGCUUAUUACUGAAAUCGGUCUCACUGAGUUCAUGUGAUUGGUCUCAUCGAGAUGAAGUUUUGCCCUAAUCCUAGCACAUCGGUCCCACCAAGUUGAUCAUGUCGGUCCCACCAAAAAGCCUAACGUUCACAUUUUGAACCAUAUCGGUCUCACCGAGUUUCACUAUUCAGUCCCACCGAGUUUGGUAAAUUGUGUGUAACGGUUAGAUUUUGUGUGGAGGCUAUAUAUACCCCUCCACCCAGUCUCCAUUCGAGGAGAGAGCCAUCAGAAUGUGCCUACACUUCCAUCAUUCAUUUUCUGAGAGAGAACCACCUACUCAUGUGUUGAGACCAAGACAUUCCAAUUCGACCACAAGAAUCUUGAUCUGUAGCCUUCCCAAGUUGCUUUCCACUCAAAUCAUCUUUCCACCAUAUCCAAAUAUGUGAGAGAGAGUUGAGUGUUGGGGAGACUAUCAUUUGAAGCACAAGAGAAAGGAGAUCAUCAUCAACACACCAUCUAUUACCUUUUGGAGAGUGGUGUCUCCUAGAUUGGUUAGGUGUCAGUUGGGAGCCUCCGUCAAGAUUGUGGAGUUGAACCAAGGAGUUUGUAAGGGCAAGGAGAUUGCCUACUUCGUGAAGAUCUACCCAAUUGAGGCAAGUCCUUCGUGGGCGAUGGCCAUGGCGGGAUAGACAAGGUCGCUUCUUCGUGGACCCUUUGUGGGUGGAGCCCUCCAUGGACUCGCUCAACCAUUACCCUUCGUGGGUUGAAGUCUCCAUCAAUGUGGAUGUACGAUAGCACCACCUAUCAGAACCACGCCAAAAUUUUUCAUGUCUACAUUGCGUUUGCUCCCUCCAAAGUUGUGAUAGACUGGCUUAUUAGGGAUGAUAGACUACUCAUAUCAAUAAGGAAUUUCUUCUUUUCCGGGAGCCCAUUCAGACAAAACUACAAAGUUAAGCGUGCUCAGAUUGGAGUAGUUUCAGGAUGGGUGACCGACCAGGAAGUUGCUCCCGGGUGCGCACGAGUGAGGACAAAGUGCGCAAAAAAGACUAGUAUUGAUUUGUGGAGCCAGUCUAGAUACCGCUAGGAGUAACGACCACCAGCGGGUGUGUCCAGGGCGUUACAAGUUGGUACCAGAGCCGACCCUCGCGGUUACACGGAUGUUUGCAGACAGGUGCGUGGUCAUGUUGUGCAUGAUGUUUGUGACCCGUCAUGGCACACGGCAUGGCACAUGUGCCAGACUGGAAGCACAGACGUAUGUGCCAAGAGGGAACGUUCCUGUGGCCCGACGAGGACGUCGGUUCCUCUGAGUGGGGGUGUAUGUGAUAGCCUGGCUUAUUAGGGAUGAUAGACUACUCAUAUCAAUAAGGAAUUCCUUCUUUUCCGGGAGCCCAUUCGGACAGAACUACAAAGUUAAGCAUGCUCAGCUUGGAGUAGUUUCAGGACGGGUGACCGACCGGGAAGUUGCUCCUGAGUGCGCACGAGUGAGGACAAAGUGCGCAGAAAAGACUAGUAUUGAUCUGAGGGGGCCAGUCUAGAUCCCGCCAGGAGUAACGACCACCGACGGGUGUGUCCGGGGCGUUACAAAACUCCUCCACUUUACCUUCAUAUGCAAUGAUUUACAUUCCGCUACUAUACUCUUAGAGUUACAUGUGAGUCGAUCGCUUGACUUGUGUUAAGUUGCUAAAAUCUGCCAAGACUUAAAAUUAGGAAAAGGCUAGAUUUUUAUUUGGUCAAGUAGUCUAAUUACCACCCCUCUAGACAUACUUUCGAUCCUACAUGUGCAUACCUUAGGGAGCGGUAGUACAUCCUGUCUAUGGUCUGAGAGGUGCAUAACGGUUGGAUUUGCCCCCCACUAUAAAGGGGGUCUUCUUCCCCAAGAAGACCUACCUCUUUCUCCCCUAAACUCCAUUGUUGCUCCAAAGCUCAUUUUCACCUGAUUUCUCUCCCUAGCCAAUCAAACUUGUUGAUUUUCUAGGGAUUGGUUGAGAAGGCCCGGAUCUACAUUUCCACCAAGAGAAAUUUGAUUCCCCCCACUAAUCCCUUGCAAAUCUUGUUACUCUUGGGUGUUUGAGCACCCUAGACGGUUGAGGUCACCUCGGAGCCACAUUCCAUUGUGGUGAAGCUCCGUGGUAUCGUUGGGAGCCUCCAAUCAAGUUGUGGAGAUAGCUCCAACCUUGUUUGUAAAGGUUUGGUCCCCGCCUUCAAGGGCACCACUAAUGGAAUCACGUCAUCUCGCAUUGUGUGAGGGCGUGAGGAGAAUACAGUGGACAUAGUGGCUUCUUGGGGAGCAUUGUGCCUCCACACCACUCUAACGGAGAUGUACUCCCCCCAAAGGGAAGCAACUUCGGUACACGCCCUCGUCUCCACCGGCUCCACUUAUGGUUAUCUCUUCCCUUUACUUUGUGCAAGCUAUUAUUGUGUUGUAUCCCUUGCUUGCACUUGUUGUUGUCGUUAGCAUCAUAUAGGUUGCUCACCUAGUUGCACAUCUAGACAACCUAUUUGUUGCUAAACCUAAUUUGUUAAGAAAAACUAAAAAUUGGUAGUUGCCUAUACACCCCCCUCUAGUCAACCAUAUCAAUCCUUUCAAUUGGUAUCAGAGCCUUGUCUCUUUAUUAAGGGUUUCACCACCCAAAGAGUAUGGUUGACACCAAGGAGGAAGUUCCCGAGGCCGUGGAGUUGACUUCAAUCACUCGAGACGACUUAAAUGAAGCUAUGGCUUCACUUAAGAUGUCUAUGACGACCGAAGUCAAGUCCAUGCUUAAAGAAUUACUCGAGGGGAUGAAAUCCACUCCCGAUCCCUUGCUUGUGGUUAAUCCCGCGGCAUCGGAGCUGGAGGCCAAUUCCACCAAGGAAGCGGCUAAAAGUACUAAUGUUCCUUCCCCUCAUGACAAGAAUGGGACGGGAACCUUUGCCUCGGUCCCCCCUCCCCCGGUCUAUGGAGGACCGGUCCCUACACCUCGCAUUAAUAUUCAUGGUCCUCCUCCCAAGCUUGUUAAGGGUGAUUUUGAUAAUUGGGUCUUUCGCACUAAGUCUCAUUUGAAUCAUUGCUCAACUAACCUUCGGAGAAUCAUUGAGCAAGGCUUUUACCCGCAUGAUCCAAACAACUUCACCCCAAGAGAAGAAGUGGACAAUCAGUACAAUCACUCUGCUUUGUUCAUCCUUCAAGAUGCGGUCCCUCCCGAAGAUCUUUCGCAUCUUUGACCCUUCACUCAUGCAAAGGAUUGUUGGGAGCACAUUGUGUCUAUCUACAAGGGAAGCUCAAGCAUUCAAAGGUCCAACUUUGAAGUGGUCUUUGAUGAGGCCGAUGAAUUUGUGAUGCUUGAAGAUGAGGAUCCAUGUGAUCUCUACCGGAGGGUGACAACUCUUGCGGUUGCUCUCCAAGACCAUGGGAGCAAGGAUACGGAUGGCACUUUAAUCAAGCACAAGUUUCUCAAGGCCAUCAUGCCAUUCAACAAAGCAAUGUCUUCCGUGAUUUGUCAAAGGCCGGACUUUCACACCCUAACCUCAAGUGAAGUGUUGGAUGAGUUUAUUCUAUGAACAUCAUGAAUAAGACCGCCGACAAUGUUCUUUCUCGUGUCCGGUCAAAGAAAGACACUCCCACCCUUGCUUUGAAGGCCAAGGCCAUUCCGAAAGAAGAAGAGGAAGAAGAAGAGGAGGGUGGUCUCAAAGACACCAAAUAUGCCUACCAUGAUCCAUGGCUCUUGCGUCAAGGCUUUUUUUGGAGCAAUAAGAGGAACUCAAGGCCCAACUUCACCAAGAACAACUCAACUGGGUCAAAGAACAAGCAACGUGUAAGAACUUGCUACAAUUGUGGCAAUGUGAGUCACUUUGUGGUGGAUUGCCCCUACAAGAAGAGGGAAGACAAUGGUGGAAAACUCAUUCGUAAAGAUAAAGCCAAUUCCUUCCCUAGCAAGAACAACUUCACCAAGAAGACUCCUCCAAAGGGCUUGGUGGCACAUGAAGAGUACCCCUCCGAUGAUGAUGAGGAAGAUACAAGUGGAGAAGGAAUGGCAACGACAACCAUUGCCAUUGCUACAUCUUCUCCCUCCAAGGUGUCUCUCUUCGGCGCCCCGAACGAAAACACCAUUGCCAAGUGUCUCAUGGCCAAGGGUAUCAACAAGGUAACUCCUAACAUCAAAACCACCAUCAUUACUACUCCUUUGUUGUUAGAUUGUGUAGAUGAUAGUGAGGUGGAGAAAGUUGAUGAGAAUGAGUUCACCAAGUUUGUGAGUAAGCUCAAGGGUGAGUCCAAGAAGCACUUUGUUGCUCUCUUGAAACAAUUUGGUGAGGCCAAUGAUAUCAUUGAAUCGCAUGAGGAUACUAUCUCCAAGUUGGAGGGGCAUAACCAUGAUUAUGUUGAUGAUAUUGUGGAUAUUUCUGUCGCUCUAGAAGAAGAGCGAGAUCUUCGUUUGACUCUUGAGGAGUCACACAAUGUUGAUCAUGCUAAAUUGCAAGAAGAUCUUGAUCAUGCUAUUGUUCUUACUCGUGUGCUUAAAUCCGAGAAAGCCACACUUGGGGUUGGCCAUGAUAGACUCAAGGAAGAAUUUGAUACACUUGACAAGGCUCACAAGGUCUUGAAGGGCAUUCAUGCUUAUCUCAAAGAGUCUCAUGAUCAACUCCAAGUGAAGCUAACCGAGGAGAUUGCCACUUGUCCUCCCUUCGUUAUAAUUGAUAAUGCCCAUGCUACUAACCCUUGUUGCGAGCAUGUGCAUCUCGUGGAGGAAAAUGCUAAGUUGAAAGUGAAGGAAAUAUGCCCUAGAGGCAAUAAUAAAGUUGUUAUUUAUAUUUCCUUAUAUCAUGACAAAUGUUUAUUAUUCAUGCUAGAAUUGUAUUAACCGGAAACUUAGUACAUGUGUGAAUACAUACACAAACAUAGUGUCCCUAGUAUGCCUCUACUUGACUAGCUCGUUAAUCAAAGAUGGUUAAGUUUCCUAACCAUAGACAUGUGUUGUCAUUUAAUGAACGGGAUCACAUCAUUAGAGAAUGAUGUGAUGGACAAGACCCAUCCGUUAUAUUAGCAUAAUGAUCGUUUAGUUUUAUUGCUAUUGCUUUCUUCAUGACUUAUACAUGUUCCUCUCACUAUGAGAUUAUGCAACUCCCGAAUACCGGAGGAACACCUUGUGUGCUAUCAAACAUCACAACGUAACUGGGUGAUUAUAAAGAUGCUCUACAGGUGUCUCCGAGGGUGUUUGUUGAGUUGGCAUAGAUCGAGAUUAGGAUUUGUCACUCAGUGUAUCGGGGAGGUAUCUCUGGUCCCUCUCGGUAAUGCACAUCACUAUGAGCCUUGCAAGCAAUGUGACUAAUGAGUUAGUUACGGGAUGAUGCAUUACGGAAUGAGUAAAGAGACUUGCUGGUAACGAGAUUGAACUAGGUAUGAUGAUACCGAUGAUCGAAUCUCGGAAAGUAACAUACCGAUGACAAAGGGAAUGACGUAUGUUGUUAUGCGGUUUGACCGAUAAAGAUCUUCGUAUAAUAUGCAGGAACCAAUAUGAGCAUCCAGGUUCCGCUAUUGGUUAUUGAUCGGAGAUGUGUCUUGGUCAUGUCUACAUAGUUCUCGAACCCCUAGCGUCCGCACGCUUAAUGUUCGAUGACGAUUUGUAUUAUGAGUUAUGUGAUUUGAUGACCGAAGUUUGUUCGGACUCUCGGAUGAGAUCACGGACAUGAAGAGGAUUCUCGUAAUGGUCGAGAGGUAAAGAUUCAUAUAUUGGAAGGUUGCAUUCGGACACCGGAAUGGUUUUGGAAGUUUCGGAUAAGUUUCGAAGUACCGGGGGUUACCGGACCCCCCCGAGAAGUUAAUGGGCCAUCAUGGGCCUUAGUGGAGGAUAGAGGGCCGGCCAAGGAGGUGGCGCGCAACCCCCUUGCCAAUCUGAAUUGGACAAGGGGUGGGGGCGGCGCCCCCCUUCCCUCUCCUACCCCUUCUCUCUUUCCCCCUUUUGCUACUCCGGAAAAGGAAAAAAGGAGAGGGGAAUCCUACUAGGACUAGGGAGUCCUAGUAGGGCUCCCCACACUUGGCGCGCCCCUAGGGGGCCGGCCUCCUCUCCUCCCCCUUUAUAUACGAAGGCAGGGGCACCCCAAAGGCACAACAGACAAUCUCUUAGCUGUGUGCGGUGCCCCCUCCACAGUUUACCACCUUGGUCAUAUCGUCAUAGUGCUUAGGCGAAGUCCUGCGCCGGUAACUUCAUCAUCACCGUCGCCACGCCGUCGUGCUGAAGGAACUCUCCCUCAUCCUCAACUGGAUCAAGAGCUCAAGGGACGUCAUCGUGCUGAACGUGUGCUGAACACGGAGGUGCCGUACAUUCGGUCCUAGGAUCGAUUGGAUCGUGAAGACGUUCGACUACAUCAACCGCAUUACUAAAUGCUUCCACUUUCGGUCUACGAGAGUACGUGGACACACUCUCCCGUCUCGUUGCUAUGCAUCUCCUUGAUAGAUCUUGCGUGAUCAUAGGAUUUUUUUGGAAAUACUGCAUUCCCCAACAGAAAGAGCAACUUGAGAAGGGCCUUGUGACUUGCAUACAAGGCGAGAAGAACCUCAAUGACCUUUUCAACAAUGAAAAGGAAGUUGAGGAAAGGAAGGACUUGCGUUUGUACCCAAUUCAAAGAAGAAGAAGAAGAAGAAGAAGAAGAAGAACAAGACCAAGCAAUCUCUCCCGCUCAAGCACACCUUUGUCAAGGCGGGUGAGGGUGCUCAUGAGAAGAGGAAGAACAAGGAAGUGGGUGGUAAUGCCAAGAAGGGCAAAACCGCUCCUAGCAACGAAGCCGGCGACUUUAACCCCUCCUAUGUUUUGUGCCAUGCUAGUGAUGGGCAUGUUUAUGCUUUGUUGGUUCUUCUUAUGAGUACAUUGAAUGGUCUAUUUGGGUUCCUAAGACACUUGUUACUAACAUCAAAGGACCCAUUCAAAAAUGGGUACCUAAAUCCAAUCAUUGAUCUCUUGUAGGAGUUUGCUUCCGGUGGGGUGUCAUGGUUGCUCGAUAGUGGAGCAACAAAUCAUAUGACCGGGAGCAAGGAAUUGGUGGUGGAUGUGCAUCCAAUUCCAUAUAUGCCCAUCCAUGUCCAAUUCGGUGAUGCUUCAACUUCUAAGGUAUUGGGGCUUGGCAAGGUGGUCAUCUCUCAAGAUUUAACUAUUGAGAAGGUCAUGCUUGUUGAGUCCCUUGCAUACAAUUUACUUUCUGCUCGUCAACUUGCACUUGUGGGCUUUGCAACAUUCUUUGAUCUUGAUACCGUGGCCCUUUUGUGGAGCAAGACUCUUAAAGUAGCCUUUGUUGGGCAUGUCGAGAACGGUCUCUAUGUGGUGAACUUUUUGGAGUGACCCAUUAAGACCGCGACGUGCCUAAUGGCUAAAGUUGAUGUGUGUUGGCUUUGGCAUCGCCGUAUAGCCCAUGUCAACAUGAGAUAUUUGCAAAGUCUCCUCAAUGGGGACCAUGUGCGUGGACUAACAAAUGUGAGUUUUGCCAAAUACCGCGCUUGCAAUGCUUGUAUCGAAGGAAAGCUUCAUGAAACGGCUCACCGACCAUCGACUAUCAUCUACUCAAAGAGGCCCUUGGAGCUCCUUCACAUGGAUCUCUUUGGUCCUCCAUCCUUUGAUAGUCUUGGUGGAAGAAAGUAUUGCUUGGUGAUUGUGGAUGACUACUCAAGAUACACAUGGGUAUACUUCUUCAAGAGGAAGAGUGAGACUCAACAAACUGUCAUUAAAUUUGCAAAUGAAGCUCAACGUCAACAUGAAGCAAAAAUCUUGAUGAUUAGAAGUGACAAGGACACCGAGUUCAAGAACUACGCCUUGGAUGAGUUUCUUAGUGACAAGGGGAUCCAGCACCAAUAUGCCGCACCCUAUACCCCUCAACAAAAUGGUGUGGCGGAGAGGAAGAACUGGACGUUGAUGGAUGCGACAAGGACCAUGAUGGAGGAAUUGAAAUCUCUGUACAACUUUUGGGCCAAAGCCAUCAACACCGCUUGUCAUGCUUCCAAUAGGCUCUACCUCCACAAAGGCUUGAACAAGACUCCUUAUGAGAUACUUACAGGCAACAAGCCCAACCUCAAGUAUUUUCGGGUGUUUGGUUGUAAGUGUUUCAUUCUCAAGAAAGGUGUUCGUUUGCCAGCUCAAGAGGGCAUAUUUGUUGGUUAUGCUACAAACUCUCAUGCUUACCGUGUCCUCAACAAGUCCACCGUACUCACUGAGGAGACAUGUAACAUGGAGUUUGAUGAAAAUAACGCCUCCCAAGUGGAGCAAAGUGGUCUUUGUGAUGUAGGUGAUGAAAUUCCUCCCCAAGCCAUAAGAAGAAUGGGGAUUGGUCAAAUACUCCCCACUAAGGAACCCCUUGUGGCCGAAGGAGAAGGACAAUGCUCUACUCAAGUGGAGCCAUCACCUACGCUCAGUGGCGGAGCUAGAAUUUGACAUCAGGGUGGUCCGACCCCCAAAUUUUUUUUACAAGAAAUAUGACAUGUGGACCUUCUAACCAGUUACCAAUAUCAUAUAGAAAUAGAUCAUUAUUGUCUUACAAACAUAUUAAAAUUCUCAAUUAAGUCUAAGUUUUGCAUAAAGAAGCAUACAUAGUGCAUACUAUAUGGACCAUAAUACAUACCUUGAGAAGUUCAAAAAGACUAUGUUUCUGGCCUACGCUUUUGCAUUGUCAUGAAAAUAUCAAUUAUAUCAUCUUCAUUCACCUCGACAAAAGCAUCCCUCUCAAUGUGUGUGACUAGUCAAUCAUCCAAAAGACUAUCAUCCAUCGUACCUUGUGUGCAUAAAAACAAAUUAGUUGGAGGGAUUUAAUAAGAAUUCUUGAAGAAAUACUAAUUUGAGAAGCAAAUUUGCAUACCUUUUGUGCAUCAAAAGCAACAAAUGAGUUGGCAGGAUUCAAACAGACAUACAAGAAAGCAACUCCAUAUUAGUCUCACCAAACCGAUUUUCAAGCUCUUGACUAAUUUUAUCAAUGACUCCAAGGAAAACUUCUCUUCUCCAGCUUGCUCUUCGGCCACAUCUCCCUGCCUUCUUCUUCUUCCCUAUCUCCAUAGCUUCUCUCUGGAAAAGAGAAACAAUGUCUCCGGCCCUCUUCAUUCUUCAACAAUUUCGCAAUAAAAAUUAGUUUCUAUCAAUAAAGCUAAUUGCAGCAGAAAUGAUGUGAAAUUUAUGCAUGUGUUCAUCAAUUCAUGAUAGCUUAGUGCAAAAAAGCAAACCCUAAAUAACAAAUUAGGGGGUUUUGGUACCUUAAAUCAGUUUACACACUUGCUGGUUGCUGCGGUGCUGCCUCCGAAGACUGGCUACUGAGCGCCUGAGCGGCACCGACGGCUGUCGGCUUUGCAAGGAGGCACCAAGGCAGAGGGCCGGACUCUGGCGGAGGUAGGGCGGACGGGCGGCGGGGCCAGGCGACAGGCGGCCCGGGUCAAGGCAGGGGCGGGCGGGCGGCAGGGCCAGGCGAGAGCCGGGCGGGAAGGGGAGGCGGGCUGGGCUCCGCCGCUCCGGCCAGCGACUGGCGAGGCCGCGAGGAACGGCGGCGGUAAGGCGAGGGCCGGAUGGCAUCGAGACGAGGGCAUGAGGCGGCUGCAGACCUGCAGUGGACGAGACGAGGGCGUGGCUCCGUUCCGCUGCUGGAUCAAUCAGUAUGUGUUUUGGGCUGAUUUUUUCUGACCUAGUUAAAAAUCCAUAGGUAUAUAAUAAACUGGCCCAAAAUCCCAGGGUGGGCCGCGGCCCACCCUGGCCACCCUGUAGCUCCGCCCCUGCCUACGCUAGACCCACAUGCUUCCGAAGAUCAAAGUGAAGGCCCUCAACCCAAUGAACAAGAUCAAGGGCAAGAUCAACUCCAUGGAGAUGGUGAUGCACCAAAUGAUGCCCAAGAUCAAGUUCAUUCCUCCGAGCUCGCUCAAGGUCAAGAGCAAGCUCAAGACGGUGCUCACAAUCAAGAGCAAGCUCAAGAUCAAGAGCAAACUCAUGACGGUGCUCAAGAUGUGCAAGAUGAUCCUCAAAUGCCCAUCGAGGAACUUUUGGAGCGUCGUGCCACUAAGGUGGCUUCCAAGCUCGAGUGUCAACAACAUGUCAUGGAGAAUGUGCCUGAAGCUUGAUAAAAGGGGUAACUACUCGCAAACAAUUGUCAAACUUUUGUGAGCAUCACGCAUUUGUUUCGUGUGUUGAACCCCAAAAGGUACAUGAGGCGCUUGAUGAUGAGGAUUGGCUUGAAGCAAUGCAUGAUGAACUCAACAACUUCGAGCGCAAUCAUGUUUGGGAAUUAGUGUUGGUGCAACCGAACCUGGAUCCGUUUCCCAGACUGUGCACAGGCCCAAGAACAAGAUUACAACACCAAGAUCAGAUCAAAGCGCGAGGGAUCAGUUCUUUGAAGGAUCAAAGUGCAAAUCAAGAAUACCAAGACUAGCUAGAGAGACAAGAUACCACUACGAGAAGAACCUCUCUUGCCGGGCAGGCGAGCCUGGCGAGGUGGGGGUUGCCCCGGAAGCGAGCCUCCAAGAUCGCCCCAGCAGGUCUGCCGGGGCUCACGGAGGAAAACCACUCCACCACACCACCUCACAGCAAUGCACAUCGUCAAUCAGUGCGGUGUCAAGCUCCUAAGUGACUAGGUGGCUGCUCCCUGCCACAUGGCAGCCAUUUCCUACAGAAAAUACCUCCAAGCGACACCCGUUCUAAUACGUGUCAAGCAAGCAGGUGCGAAGCUGGCAAAACAACCCGAUAGGGCCUACCGGGCAAGCUGUGAUGUGACAUUGAGCGACGCAUUUAAUGUGCUCUGCUAGUCUGCAGAGUUAGGUAUGAUAUCACUAUUGGCUAUCUAAUCAGUAUGUAAAGACUGAUUUGCCACUGUGGUGACCCCUUGAUCUAUAAAAGGAGGCCCAUGGCAAAUGUAGAAAGGAUUCAGACCCCCACACAUUCAUACGCGCGUAGCCACUCUCGCCUCGAGGUAACCCUGUCGGGCAAGAACGUUGUGUUUCUCCACCAUUUUCCACCAUCAAUCCACCAAAGGAAGAGUAGGGUUUUACGCCUCGUGGUGGCCCGAACCUGGGUAAAACUGCCUGUGUGAUCUCCGCCGUGCUGUGUUACGCUUCUCCGCUCUUUGUGCAACAUGCACAUCCCCCCGCCAAAACAAAACGGGCUCAUGGCCCCAUAGGUGGCCGUGGUUUACCACGACAUCUUUGGCAUGCAAGGUAGGGGGAUCACUUGCGCGAACCCAAGAGCGUAAGCAACACGCCAUCUUCAUCUCCAUUUUCAUCAUCGAUGGAUCCAUCGACUAUGGCGGCCAAGAAGAAGUCCGGUGCCGUAGCCCACCCAUCCACCUCGAAGGCCCCGCCGCCCGCGACCGUCGAUGCCGCGGGGAAUGCAGAGGUACAUGAGGAUGUGAGCGCCGUGGGAGACGUGGUCGGUGCAGGCGGCGUUGUCACCACCUCCCCCAUAGCCGAAGCAGGAGCUGGAGGCACCGGAGAAGGACAACACCAACAACAUCUUGGCGACCAUGCUCCGCGAGGUACAGGUAGAGAGAUUAUUCCUUCUGUCCCUCCCAGCCUGGCCGAGAGGGGCAUAGCCAUGACGGUGAUGUUCGCCCCGAGGCGAAUCGCAAUCCUACGACCGCCCCCGCCAUGGGCGCGGUCGCGGGACAUGCACCACCCUUGGAGCAAACUGGCCCAGCCCAUUCUCCGAACAGAGUCAUUGGCCCACGCGCGCCAUCACCUUGUCACCACACCAUCCCAACAACUGGCUCCCGAUGACAGGAGCCCGAUGCAACCACCACCGGCAUCGUCAGGAGCCGAGCGAAGUUGCGGUCUACAUCAUCAUCACCAAUGCCAAGCACCGCUUCAGAGGCCAUGGCGCAGGCCCAACUGCUAUUGAGGUUUCCGUCGACAGCUGGUCAAAUGGAUGAGUGGAGAGCCACCAUUCAGAGUCUGUUUGGCUUUGCCGAGGCUGGAGGAUGACAGCAAGCUGGCCCACCAUGGCCUCCCUAGAUGAUGAUGGCAGAUCAUGCUGCUGGCCGUGCAGAAGGGGCCACCCCCAUGGUGCAAUCCCUUCUAUGGCAACCAGCGCGAGGGCCACGAGACCAAGAGCUUGAUGACAUCUCGAUGGCUUCGUCCGAUCCUCGAGCACAUCAAGGCCGACGGCAAGCCCCGGAGGAUAGGCAGAUGGAGGGCGCGCACGUCACCAUCGAGCUACGUCGCAGCGGCCACCAAUAGUACAAUGGGCGCGAUGGCCCCAACGUCGACGGGCUUGUGCUCGGCAUAGGCGGGUACCUACUAUCGGUGUCAAAACCGGCCGAUCUCGGGUAGGGGGUCCCGAACUAUGCGUCUGAGGAUCAAAGGUAACAUGAGACAAAGGGGACAAGAUGUUUACCCAGGUUCGGGCCCUCUUAAUGGAGGUAAUACCCUACUUCCUGCUUGAUUGAUCUUGAUGAGUAUAGGGGUUACAAGAGUUGAUCUACCUCGAGAUCAUAGUGGCUAAACUCUAGAUGUCUAGCCUAUAUGAAUUCUGAUAGCCUCUAUGGACUAAACCCUCCAGUUUAUAUAGACACCGGAGGGUCCUAAGGUUGUACAGAGUCGGUUUAUAGAGAAAGGAAAUCAUACAUCUGGAUGCGAUGGUUGAGAACUUCCCCAACCCCAAUAAGGAGGAGAGGGUGUGCUUCGUCCCAUUCCUGUUGCGGGGCCUGGGAUCUCCCAUCCAUCCCUUCCUCAGGGGUUAUUGGAAUUUUACAGCAUCUAACUACGCAACCUCACCCCAGGUUUGAUUUUGCACAUGUCAGGUUUCAUUGCCCUUUGCGAGCUAUUCUUAGGCAUUGAGGCCCAUUUUGAAUUGUGGAGGAAGUUCUUUUGCCUCGUUCCCUGCCACCGGGGCUGUUCCAUAUUUGAAGUGUGCGGUGCCGAAGUAUGGCGUAUAGCCGGAUCCAGAUAUCUCAUAGGAACACCUAAAGAGGUAUACCCACAAUGGUCUUUAGAAUGGUUCUAUAUGGAUGACGUUUUGUCGCCGGAUCCAGUUCAGUGCGGCCUCCUAGAAUUUUCAAAUGCUCCCUUAAAGAAGCGCCUCAACUAGCGUCCCCGAAGCCCCAAGGAAGAGGACAAUGCGGAGAUGAAGAGGUUGGUCAGCAAGGUCAGGUUGCUAGCCCAUACCGAACUCUCGAUAGUUGAGGUUAUGGCGAUUGCAAUAAAGAGGUGCGUUCAGCCUCUCCAAUCCAGAGUAACUCCCUUAUGGUGUUACAAUGGAGAAGAUGACGCGUCCCAUUACAGACAGAAGGGUCCGAAUACUCUAGCCGAACUGGCCUCUAUUUUGGCCGAUCUGUAUAAGGGCGAGAAGGAAGAGAUUCUCCAGUUAAACUGCUGGGAGGGUUAUUCCAUGUACACCCCCAUUGAAUGGGUAAGAUUUCAAUCGUCUGUAUUUAUUUGACUACUUUACAGACACUAAUCAAAUUUGCCCUUUGUUGCCACCAACAGUCAUGGAGGAAGAUUAUCGAGGACGUCCACUGUCCCGCUCCCCAGCCAAAGGAUCAUAAUCGUGAUAAAGAUCCUAGCUUUUGUGAGGAUCCGGACAUAUAUAUAGAGUUCGACGAUGGGGUAUUUUAUCAAGCGAGCCUUGACGGUUCGGAGGUGGCUAUUACCGCCGACUACCCCCGCCUCUAUCCCUUCUGCAUUGUGAGUAUUCAGAGGGUCCUUAAAAGGAAAUCCUUAUCUGCAUUUUUAUCUCCUAUACUGAUCCGAAUUUUAAUAGGAUCGACGCUCUAGGGACCGUAUUCCCUCAAGGGUGGCCCCUACGCAAGGCCGUCGUUCAAAAUGAAAAGGGACUGGGAGUGCUGCGGAGACCUCACAGCCUUCCAAGAGGUACGUGUGCUGUAAUACAUGCCUAGGCAUGAGUCCGGAUUGUGAAAUGUCUCCUUUUAUCCUUGACAUCAGGAGGAGUACGCGGCGGACGGUUGAAAAAUGCCCGAUUAGCUGAAUGUCUACUGAUCCGGCGCCGGACUCGUCAACUAGGACGCGAGCCGAUGCAAUGCCAGUUCCACCUCAAGAAGAUUCGGAUGACAUAUCCAUCACGAAUUCUGAAGUGGAAAGUGUGAUGAAUCACCGUCAAUUGAAAUAGGCUAUGCGGGCUCCGGAGUUUUCGAACAAGAGUUUACCGCACUCAGUUUGGUGGAUGCAUAUCUCCAAGCCGCUCAAGACGGACUUGCCGGAGUCAUUCAGCUAUUCUCGAAGGACAUACAGGUAAAAGUUUACGCAUUUUUUUGAUAUUUAUGUGCUAGUAGCCCCCAAGACAUGAAGCGGUGAGUUAAACCGAUUUAAGGAUCGCUAUCACCCGCAGGUUCUCAAAGAGAAAAAUUCCGCACUGUCUCAGGAGCUAGAAGCAAAUCAUACAAAGUUAAAUGCUGUCACCACCGAACUAGUGGAAAUAAAAAAAAGGGCACAAUGAGUGUGUCCGGGAAGAAUGAACAUGACGAGGAGAAAGACAGACUAUCCGAAGAGAUGGAGAGCUUAAAAGCUCAGUUAUCCUCUCUUAUUUAGAACCAUCCUAGGUGCUUAUGUGCAAUCCCUUAAUUCAAAAUGUCAUGAUCUGUUGCCACAUGCCUGUUGACCAGAGGGAGAAGUAUCCGGAUUUUAAGGCGAUGUGCUAAAGGAACUUUGUGGUACAUUCUCGGGCCCGGAAAGCCAUGAAAAGUAUGGUGAAGGCUUUAUGGCCAUCUGAUACCCCUCCGGAAAGUAUGGAGGGCCUGGCAGACCUGUUCAAAGGUGCUCGGCGCCGGUUGGAGCUAUGGAAGACAUCGGCCUACCGCGAAGGUGCACGAUAAGCCUGUGCCAUGAUGAAGACACGUUUCACUAAACUGAAUUCAAAUCAUAUGGCCCAAGUGGGACCGCAAGGAUCAGACUGGAAAGAAAUUCCCAUGAAUUUGGUGUAUGACCAAGUAAUGGUAGCUGUGAAGUAUUCGCAGGAAGACUGUAAAUUAGACAGUCUUAUAGAUGGGAUAGAUAAGGAAUAGGUUUAUGUAUCAAUCAACCUGUACCUUUAUCCGAACAUGUAAAGAAUUUAUCAUUGCAGGCUUUCGGCUUUAACCUCCGAACCAAAAAAUUGGUGGAGUGUUUCCGGAUACUUUUUAAAAGAAGCAUCCAUUAUGUUCGGAAACUAGGCAACCCAGUAAUUGUGCUCAAACGGACAAAAAGUUUUAGUUCGGGUUGUAUGUUAUAUUACGUAUGUAAGAAACAUCUUCCAAGGAAAAUAGUUCCAUUAAAGGUUCCUUUCCUUGGGUCGGCAUACUAUGCUUACACGUGCCAGGGUGUGUGUUUCAUAAUAUGGAAAAACUGUCUCGCAAUGUUUUAAAGUAGUUGCAAUACUGCAACAAUUUGUCAUUCGAUUGCCGACCAAUUAUUCCCUUAAGAACGCUAGCUUUUGGCUUCACCCGUCUGAGGUACAUGUCCGGAUAACCCGGUUGUAACAAUCGCAGAGGUGCUCCCUUUAUGCCCUAGCCGAACAAUCGGGAACGUAGGGUAUAAGCACAUGAGCAAGGCAACCCGGCUUGGCAAAAACUUAAGUCAUAGAGGUGCAUAUAAUGAAAAAAGGAUGUAUAUCCACAAACGACACAUAUAUUGUGAGCUCUAGGCUUGGGAUAAUAAUAAGCUUGUAUUUACAGAAGCCCCUUGUCAUGGUGGGGUUUGUACAUUAAGGAUGUGUACCCCUCGAGUGUUCGGCUUAUCUGAACACAUCAUGGAAAUCGUACAAAAACGAGAAAGUGAAAAACAGAUGGAGAGAAAAAAAGAAAAAGAGGACGAAAAGAAGUAUGGACGAACUUAUGCGUAGAAUCUUCGGAGCCGAGCAACAUUCCACGGGUUCGGCUCUAAGCGAUUAUCCGAUGCAUUGCGAAGGCGGUAGGCUCGUCCAGUGAGAACUUCAUCUAUAAUGAAGGGACCUUCCCAUUUUGGUUUGAGCUUGUCCUUUUUCUUCUCUGGGAGGCGUAAAACGAGCUCACCGACAUUAUAAGUCUUUGCCUGCACUUCUUUGCUUUGGUAUCGCCGAGCUUGUUGUUGGUAGAAUGCGGAACGGGCUUUUGCAACAUCGCGCUCCCCCUCCAGGCCAUCCAGGUCAUCCUGCCGAUCGAGCUCUACUUCUCUCUCUUCAUACAUGCACACUCGAGGUGAGUCAUGAAUAAUGUCGCAGGUCAAGACAACCUCUGCACCGUACACCAUGAAGAAAGGUGUGUAUCCAGUCGUGCGAUUGGGCGUGGUCCGCAGCCCCCAGAGUAUGGAAUCGAGUUCCUCAACCCAGUGUUUAUCUGACUCCCUUAGGGAUCGCACUAGUCUGGGUUUGAUGCCACUCAUUAUCAGGCCAUUAGCCCAUUCGACCUGACCGUUUGUUUGAGGGUGAUAUACUGAGGCGUAAUCGAGCUUAAUGCCCAGAUUAGCACACCAAAUUUUCACCUCAUCUGCUGUGAAGUUGAGCCAUUGUUAGUGAUAAUGUUGUGUAGGACACCAUAACGGUGUGCAACGCCGGAUAUAAAGUCGAUCACCGGCCCAGCUUCAGCUGUUUUUACUGGUUUGACCUCUAUCCACUUAGUGAAUUUAUCCACCAUGACCAGCAGAUAUUUCUUCUUAUGGCUUCCCCCUUUAAGGGGUCUAACCAUAUCUAGCUCCCAGACCGCAAAGGCCAGGUAAUGGGAAUUAUUUUUAGGGCGAUGGGCGGCAUAUGACUUUGAUUGGCGAGCAGCUGCCACCCAACAUAGCGCUGUACGAGUGCCUAUGCAUUUGCUCGUGCUGCGGGCCAAAAGAAACCUGUAUGGAAGACCUUCUUAUGAGGGCCCGAGCUGCGGCAUGAUGGCCACCGAGGCCAGCAUGUAUUUCGGCCGAGAGCUGCCUACCCUCCUCUUCAGAGAUACAUCUUUGAAGUACUCCGGUAGUACUUUUCUUGUAGAGUUCUCCUUCAUGAACUUUGUAGGUUUUUGAGUGUCGAACAAUGCGACGUGCCUCAUUCUGGUCAUCAGGGUGCUCCCGCCUAUUAAGGUAGGCCAGGAAAGGUUCAGACCAUGGAGCGAUUACAACCAUGAUCGCCUGGGCGAAAGGUGUCAUUUCGGUACCCGAGCCCCCUAUUGGGGAACGUUGCAGAAAACAAAAAAAUUCCUACGGUUUCACCAAGAUCCAUCUAGGAGUUCAUCUAGCAACGAGUGAUUGGAUUGCAUCUACAUAACUUUGUAGAUCAUGUGCGGAAGCGUUCAAAGAACGGGGAUGAGGAAGUCGUACUCGAAGUGAUCCAAAUCACCGGAGAUCCUAGCGCGGAACGGACGGCACCUCCGUGUUCAACACACGUACAGUCAGCGUAACGUCUCCUCCUUCUUGAUCCAGCAAGGGGGAAGGAGAGGUUGAGGAAGAUGGCUCCAGCAGUAGCACGGCGGCGUGGUGGUGAUGGAGCUCCAGUACUCCGGCAGGGCUUCGCCAAGCUCUAUGGAGGAGGAGGAGGUGUUGGGGAGGGAGAGGGAGGCACCAAAGGCCAAGGUAAGAGGUCCUCCAUCCCCCCCACUAUAUAUAGGGGGGCCUAGGGGGGGGCGGCGUCCCUAGGAGAUGCAAUCUCCUAGGGGGGCGGCGGCCAAGGGGUGGGGGGCUUGCCCCCCAAGCAAGGGGGCGCCCCCCCUUUAGGGUUUCCCCCACCCUAGGCGCAUGGGCCCUAGGGGAAGUGGCGCCCCAGCCCACUUUGGGCUGGAUCCCUUCCCACUUCAGCCCAUGGGGCCCUCCGAGAUAGGUGGCCCCACCCGGUGGACCCCCGGGACCUUUCCGGUGGUCCCGGUACAAUACCGGUGACCCCGAAACUUGUCCCGACGGCCGAAAUAGCACUUCCUAUAUAUAAUUCUUUACCUCCGGACCAUUCUGGAACUCCUCGUGACGUCCGGGAUCUCAUCCGGGACUCCGAACAACGUUCGGGUUACUGCAUAUACAUAUCCCUACAACCCUAGCGUCACCGAACCUUAAGUGUGUAGACCCUACGAUUUUGGGAGACAUGUAGACAUGACCGAGAUCGCUCUCCGGUCAAUAACCAACAGCGGGAUCUGGAUACCCAUGUUGGCUCCCACAUGCUCCUCGAUGAUCUCAUCGGAUGAACCACGAUGUCGAGGAUUCAAGCAACCCCGUAUACAAUUCCCUUCGUCAAACGGUAUGUUACUUGCCCGAGAUUUGAUCGUCGGUAUCCCAAUACCUCGUUCAAUCUCGUUACCGGCAAGUCACUUUACUCGUACCGUAAUGCAUGAUCCCGUGACCAGACACUUGGUCACUUUGAGCUCAUUAUGAUGAUGCAUUACCGAGUGGGCCUAGUGAUACCUCUCCGUCAUACGGAGUGACAAAUCCCAGUCUUGAUCCGUGUCAACCCAACAGACACUUUCGGAGAUACCCGUAGUAUACCUUUAUAGUCACCCAGUUACGUUGUGACGUUUGGUACACCCAAAGCACUCCUACGGUAUCCGGGAGUUACACGAUCUCAUGGUCUAAGGAAAAGAUACUUGACAUUGGAAAACUCUAACAAACGAACUAUACGAUCUUGUGCUAUGUUUAGGAUUGGGUCUUGUCCAUCACAUCAUUCUCCUAAUGAUGUGAUCUCGUUAUCAAUGACAUCCAAUGUCCAUAGUCAGGAAACCAUGACUAUCUGUUGAUCAACGAGCUAGUCAACUAGAGGCUUACUAGGGACAUGUUGGUGUCUAUUACUCAUACAUGUAUUACGAUUUCCGGAUAACACAAUUAUAGCAUGAAUAAAGACAAUUAUCAUGAACAAGGAAAUAUAAUAAUAAUGCUUUUAUUAUUGCCUCUAGGGCAUAUUUCCAACACCCCCGACGAUAUCAGAAUUGAGUUCGGCGUCUGGGGGUGUGAUCGGCUCCGGGCUGGUACUGCCGCUCUUCUCCUGCCAUACCACGGAUGGCUUAAAAAGCAUUUCCACAAAAGUGUUAGGUGGGACAGGGUCACGUUUGGCGCCCAUUCGAGCAAGGAUGUCUGUUGGUUGAUUGCUGUCUCGAGCCAUAUGGUGAAACUCGAGCCCCUCAAACCAAGCUGAUAUUUUAAGUACGGAGUUGCGGUAGGCCACCAUCUUUGGAUCUUUUGCAUUGAAUUCUCCAUUUAUUUGGGAUAUUGGGAGGUUCGAAUCCCCACCCACCCCGAGGCGUUGUAUGCCCAUAGAAACAGCCACCUGGAGGCCAUGCAGUACUGCCUUGUAUUCGGCUGCGUUAUUGGAGUCCGAAUACAUGAUUUGUAGUACAUAACGGACUGUGUCCCCUCUAGGGGAUGUUAGGAUGACACCAGCCCCCAAUCCGGCUAGCAUUUUAGAGCCGUUGAAGUACAUUACCAAGUUGGAGUAUGUGCUGUACUCUUUAGGGAGUUCGACUUCUGCCCAUUCGGCGACAAAAUUGGCCAACACCUGAGAUUUAAUAGCUCGGUGUGGCUUGUAUGUUAUUUCGAAUGGUAAGAGCUUGAUAGCCCACUUGGCAAUGCGACCGGUGGCAUCCCGAUUGUUUAUGCUAUCAUUGAGUGGUACUUUGGAAGCCACCAUGAUCGAACACUCUUGAAAGUAGUGCUGCAGCUUCCGAGAUGCCAUAAAGACCACAUAUGCUAUCUUUUGAUAGUGUGGAUAUCAGGAUUUGCAUGGUGUAAGGACCGCCGAAACAUAGUAUACUGGUUUUGGAGUGGGAAUUUAUGUCCCUCUUCUUCUCAUUCGACGACGAGCACAACGCUCACCACCUGGUGAGUUGCAGAUAUGUAGAGCAACAUGGGUUCAUCGAUGUUUGGUGCGGCAAUGAUGGGGUUACUUGCUAACAAAGUUUUUAUUUCUUCCAAUCUGGCUGUUGCCGCAUCCAUCCACUCAAAGUGGACGGUACGUUGGAGUAGGCGAUAAAGUGGCAGUGCCUUUUCUCCCAAUCUGGAGAUAAAGCGGCUCAAAGCUGCCAUGCACCUAGCUAGUUUCUGGACCUGCUUUAGGUCUGUUGGCAUUGCCAAUUGCGACAGGGAUCGGAUUAUGGCUGGAUUUGCUUCGAUUCCUCUACUGGAAACAAUGAACCCGAGCAGCUUUUCGACCUAAAUGCCGAAAACACAUUUUUCCGGAUUGAGCCGUAUGUCAUAUGUUCAGAGGUUGUUGAAUGUAAGGCAUAAGUCAUUCACUAAUGAUUCGACGUGUUUAGUUUUGAUGACUACAUCAUCUACGUAUGCCUCCACUGUUUUGCCGAUUUGCUUUUCUAGGCAUGUUUGAAUCAUGCAUUGGUAAGUGGCUCCGGCAUUUUUGAGUUCGAAAGGCAUAGUGUUGAAGCAGAAAGGCCCAUACAAAGUAAUGAAUGCCAUUGCAACCUGAUCGGAUUCCUUCAUCUUAAUUUGAUGGUAUCCGGAAUAUGCAUCGAGGAAACAUAGUGAAUCGUGUCCUGCGGUCGCGUCAAUGAUUUGGUCAAUACGGGGCAGUGGGAAGGGGUCCUUAGGGCAGGCUUUGUUGAGGUCUUUGAAAUCGACACAAAGGCGCCAAGAUUUGUCCUUCUUUGGCACCAUGACCAGGUUUUCUAGGCAGUCCCGGUGUUUGAUCUCUCUGAUGAACCUGACUUCAAGUAGUUUGGCUAGCUCCUCACCCAUAGCUUGCCAUUUAGGUUCAGAAAAUCGCCGCAACAUUUGCUUGACUGGCUUGAACCCCUUUAUUAUGUUGAGGCUAUGUUCAACUAGUCUGCGUGGAAUUCCUAGCAUAUCCGAAGGAUUCCAGGCAAAAAUGUCCCAAUUCUCGUGCAGGAACGCUCUUAGAGCGGCAUCAAUCAUUGGAUCCAGCUGUGCUCCAAUGGCAGCUGUUUUGUUAGGAUCCGUUGGGUGCACUUGUAAUUUAACCAUUUCGUCUGCUGGUUUGAAAGAAGUGGACUUGGGCCUCUUAUCAAGGAUUACAUCAUCUUUGUCCACUGUAGAACGCAGAGUGGUCAACACCUCGGCCGCGAGGGCCUCAGAUAGUGCCUCGAGGGCCAAGGAUGCGGUUCUGUUUUCGGCGUGGAGUGCUAUAUCCAGAUCACUAGUCAUAGUGAUAACUCCAUUGGGCCCUGGCAUUUUGAGCUUCACGUACCCGUAAUGGGGUAUAGCUUGAAAGUGUGUGAAUGCGUCUCGCCCCAACAGGGCGUGAUAUCCGCUAUUGAAAGGUGCCACAUGGAAGAGCAACUCUUCGGACCUGUAGUUCUCCGGCGUGGCAAACACCACAUCAAGCUUAAUUUUCCCCGAGCUUCGUGCUUCUCAACUGGGGAUAAUGCCUUGAAAGGUGGUGUAGCUUUGCUCAAUGUGACUCUUGUCCAUUUGCAUUUUUUGGAGCGUAUCCUCGUAAAUGAGGUUCAGUCCACUGCCGCCAUCCAUGAGCACCUUGGUGAGCCUGAAGCCAUUCACAGUUGGGUUUAAGACCAAGGCGGCAGGUGCUCGGACUGAUCUGGCCCUUGGUUCGUGUCACGCCCAAUAUGCGAUCCUAUCUGAGAGAAACUCUAAGGUCCCACCAAGGAUAGAGCCGCAUAUUGAAACACUUUUGCAAGGUGGAUAUCAUUACAUCGUAGCAUUACAUAAUAGAUGGGGAUACAUACAAAGGGCAUACAAAUGCCACAAUAAUACAUCAAACAUCAUACAUGAGAACAACAUCCGACUACAGAUGAAACACAAACAGAAACUAAAACGACAUCCACCCUGCUAGCCCAGGCUGCUGACCAGGAACCUAUCCCCUGAAUGAAGGAGAAGCAGAAGAACUCCAAACAAGUAAACACCACUCUCAUGUCAUGAUCAUCGCAUUACCUGUACCUGCAACUGUUUUUGUAGUAAUCUGUGAGCCAAGAGGACUCAGCAAUCCCAUUACCAUGGGUAUCAAGACUAGCAAAGCUUAAUGGGUAUGGAAUGGAUAAGUGGUGAGGUUGCAGCAAAUGACUAAGCAUUGUAUGGUGGCCAACUUACGAGUACAAGAGUAAGAUAAGAAACUGCGCAAACGGUCGCAAACUAGUAAUGAUCAAGAAGUGAUCCUGAACUACUUACGUUCAAACAUAACCCCACCGCGUUCUCUUCUCGACUCACUCGAAAAGAGACCGUCACAGUUAAGCACGCGGUUGGUGUAUUUUAUUUCGGGUCUGGUGUCAAGUUCUCUACAACCGGAUAUUAAAAAUUCCCAUCUACCACAUAACCGCAGGCACGACUCUUGAAAGUUUAAACCCUGCAGGGGUGUCCCAACUUAGCCCAUGAAAAGCUCACGAUCCGCGGAGACAAUCCUCCAUCUCGGGACCCUCAGAUCAGACUCGGAAUCCCGGUGCACAAGACAUUUCGACAAUGGUAAAACAAGUCUAGCAAGACCUCCCGACGUGCCGACACCCUGAUAAUAGCUGCGUGUAUCUUGUCUUAGACCAUGAUCGGAUGGGUCAAGCUACGAGUAAAAACAGCCCUCGAGUUUCCCCGAGGUGGCCCCGCAGGCUGCCCGUUUGGGACCAACACCAUCAGCACUGGCCCCCUGUUUAUGUAGAAAGAAUCCUCGGGUUCAUGGCACCCUAUGCCAAUUAAUUAUUUAGUUCAAUAUUAUUAUGGCAAAUGUUAAAACCAAAGUUGGGCCUUGCUGGAAGAGUUUUAUUCAAAGCGAAUUGUCAAGAGGGGCCCAUAAACCCUCAUCGUGUUAGGGAUGCAAAAUCAAGGAACAUGACACCGGUAUGAUGGAAACUAGGGCGGCAAGAGUGGAACAAAACACCAGGCAAAAGGCCGAGCCUUCCACCCUUUACCAAGUAUAAGAGAUAUUGUGAUACCCCAUGAUAUCCAUGUCCCAACAUGGAACAACCUACAACUGUACAUGCAACUAGCAACACUAUAAGAGAGGCUGAGCAAAGCGGUAACAUAGCCAAACAACGGUUUGCUAGGAUGGUGGAAAAAGGUUAGAGGCUAUCAUGGCAAUUUGGAAGGCUUGAUGAACAAGUGGUAGGUGGCGCGACAUAGCGAUAACACCGAGACAACUAGCAUAGAAAAGAUAGUAGUGAGAUCCAGGGUAAUGGUCAUCUUGCCUGAAAUCCCGCUAGGAAGAAGAAUGAGUCCAUGAAGAAGACGAUCCCACGUAGUCGAACGAAUCCUCACAAUUGCAAUGAAACAACAUGGUAAACACACAACACAUAGACAUGACAUGAUGCUCCACCAAGUAUGAUGCAUGAAAAGUCUAAAUGAUGCUACUCAUGGCAAGUUUAAAUGCGACCGGAAACUACACAUAACACUUCCGGUAAGUCCUCAUAAGCAAAUUACGAAAUUGGUCCAGAUCUGACUAACACAUUAUGUUAAAGUUGUUAACCAUCAAUUUAAAGUGCACCAACAUGAUCUACAUGGUUUUCUAGUCAAGUUACAUAUAAAGUUUGUUUAAUUCGGAGCUACGGCCUAGAAGAUAUGAGCAAAACAAGUUAAACAUGGCAUUAAUGCAAAAUGCAUUCAAACAUCAAGCACACAUGCUCAAACCAAGUAUGCAACAAGGCAAGAUGAAACUACAUGCAAAACCAAGCAAGUUUCAUGUAGAUCAUGCUCAAAACGGAGCAACGGUUCAAUACAUACACUCAAUACAGGUUCAAGCACAAUCUGCCCAAAACAACAACUAAGCACUUUGCAACCAAGGAAACAACAUGCUACAGGAAACAUAGGGACACAAACUUGAUAUGCACUUAAAUUAAAGAUUACAUGCUUCAAUUAUCAUCAAGGUUCAGGUUCAUGGGCAUCAAGAUUAAUCCAACAUGAGAAAAGCAAAAGACAUAUUUAUAACACAGAUUAUGACUUAGUGAAAAACAGGCAUAAACAUGAGCAAGAAUAACAUGUUGACAUGUUGGAGGCAUGAAGCAAACAUGCUACAAUGCAAUAUCAUGGCAACCAAAAGCAUGACAUUCCAGUACAUGUUAUACAUGGAAAAACAUGAUUACUAAGCAUCUCCAUAUAACAUCUAGAUCAAUGGCAUGCAUCAAGACAAGAUUGCAAGUCAUAACAGAUUCUCAGACUUAGUGAAAAAUAGAGUAAGGCUGAAAACAGAUUCAUGAUGCAUACUUUGAGACAACAAAAGUAUAUUCUACAGGAACAUUUCAUGGCAUCAAAGGGCAUGGCAAGCAUGUACAUGUAGAGCACUACAAAACAUGAACAUUGAGCUACUGCUUGAAACCACUAGAACAUGCUCAAAACAUCAUUGAAAGAAUGCAAAUGAUAACAGAUUCACAGACUUAGUGGAAUUUAGUGAACAUGGCAGGAACAACGACAAGUAGACAUGUUUGCAAGCUUGGUUAACUCAACAUAAAGCAUAUCAUGGCAAGUGAAUGUAACCAACAGAAAGAAGGAAUAUUUGUGCAGCUACUCAUGGUAAGAACAUGGUCAUAGGAUCCAUAUAUCACUAGCUAUUCACAUGGCAAGAAUGAACUUACUGUUAACAGAUUGACAACAACAUUAUUUAGCAACUUUAGAGCAUGGUAAUGACAAGCUACAACAUGCCAUAAUUGCAAACAAGGACAUGUAUGGAUAGAGCAUAACAAGAUCUAGAAAACAUCCUUACUAAGCAUCUCCAGAUUAUGCAUGGAUUAACUUAUAGCAUCAAGUUAACAUGGCAACAUAAUAUAGCAGGUUCGGACUUAGCACAAAACACUAAGUCUCUGAAAUCAGCAAUAGCAAGUACCCUACUUUCCAUGCUUGUGCUAGUCACCACAGGGCACAUAAAAAUACAUGGAUUGCAAUGCUACCUCUUGAGCACUGCGUUGGUUUUCCCUUGAAGAGGAAAGGGUGAUGUAGCAAAGUAGCGUAAGUAUUUCCCUCAGUUUUUGAGAACCAAGGUAUCAAUCCAGUAGGAGACUAAAGGCAAGUCCCUUGUACCUACACAAACAAAUAAGAUCCUCGCAACCAACGUGAUAAAGGGGUUGUCAAUCCCUUCACGGUCACUUACGAGAGUGAGAUCUGAUAGAGAUAAUAAGAUAAAUAUUUUUGGUAUUUUUAUGAUAUAGAUUGGAAAAUAAAGAUUGCAAAAUAAAAUAGAUUGGAAACUUGUAUAUGAUAAAAGAUAGACCCGGGGGCCAUAGGUUUCACUAGUGGCUUCUCUCAAGAUAGCAUAAGUAUUAUGGUGGGUGAACAAAUUACUGUCGAGCAAUUGAUAGAUAAGUGAAUAAUUAUGAGGAUAUCUAGGCAUGAUCAUGUAUAUAGGCAUCACAUCUACGACAAGUAGUCCGAAACGAUUCUACAUCUACUACUAUUACUCCACACAUCGACCGCUAUCCAUCAUGCAUGUAGAGUAUUAAGUUUAUAAGAACGAAGUAAUGCAUUAGGCAAGAUGACAUGAUGUAGAGGGAUAAACUCAAGCAAUAUGAUAUAAACCCCAUCUUUUUAUCCUCGACGGCAACAAUACAAUACGUGCCUUGUUGCCCCUGCUGUCACUGGGAAAGGACACCGCAAGAUUGAACCCAAAGCUAAGCACUUCUCCCAUUGCAAGAAAGAUCAAUCUAGUAGGCCAAACAAAACUGAUAAUUCGAAGAGACUUGCAAAGAUAACCAAUCAUACAUAAAAGAUUUCAGAGAAGAAUCAAAUAUUGUUCAUAGAUAAACUUCAUCAUAAACCCACAAUUCAUCGGAUCUCGACAAACACACCGCAAAAAGAGUUACAUCAAAUAGAUCUCCAAGAAGAUUGAGGAGAACAUUGUAUUGAGAUCCAAAGAGAGAGAAGAAGCCAUCUAGCUAAUAACUAUGGACCCGAAGGUCUAUGGUAAACUACACACACAUCAUCAGAGAGGCUAUGGUGUUGAUGUAGAAGCCCUCCAUGAUCGAUUCCCCCUCAGGUGGAGCUCCGGAAAAGGCCCCAAGAUGGGAUCUCUUGGGUACAGAAGGUUGCGGCGGUGGAAAUAGGGUUUCAUGGUGCUCCUUGAUGUUUUUGGGGUAUAUGGACAUAUAUAGGAGGAAGAAGUAGGUCGGUGGAGCUACAAGGGGCCCACGAGGGUAGGGGGCGCGCCCAGGGGGGCAGGCGCGCCUCCCUACCUCGUGGCCUCCUCGUUGAUUUCUUGAUGUCUACUCCAAGUCCCGUGGAUCACGUUUGUUCCAAAAAUAACUCUCCCGAAGGUUUCAUUCCGUUUGGAUUCCGUUUGAUAUUCCUUUUCUGCGAAACACUGAAAUAGGCAAAAAACAACAAUUUGCACUGGGCAUUGGGUUAGUAGGUUAGUCCCAAAAAUAAUAUAAAAGCGUAUAAUAAAGCCCAUUAAACAUCCAAAACAGAUAAUAUAAUAUCAUGGAGCAAUCAAAAAUUAUAGAUACGUUGGAGACGUAUCAAGCAUCCCCAAGCUUAAUUCCAGCUCGUCCUCGAGUAGGUAAAUGAUAAAAAUAGAAUUUUUGAUGUGGAAUGCUACCUAGCAUAAUUCUCAAUGUAAUUUUAUUUAGGGAUUUUUGUUUUUUCGCCACAACUUUCUUUGGGCUUUGACAAUUUGCCACCGGAUACAUUGUAAUUGAUCAAUUGCCACUGGUUACAGGGAACUUUGCUAUUUUGCCCUCCGUCGGAUGGGUCCCAUAAGAAAUGUCUAAAGCACCCCUCCCCUUGACCAAAAACUGGAGAACAACACUCGGUUGCUCGCCCUCAUUCCCCUUUUCCUCUCGCCCGCCAAAACUCAACAGACGGCGGCAACGGCGACUGCACUCGGUGCUUCUGGCGGCGGCUGGAUCUCGGCCAGGAAGGCGAGGCCCUCUCUCACGCCCCCUCUCUCCCGAGUGCACAGGAGGAACGCUGCCACCGCUGCUUCUUGUGCUGCUGCUGCCACCGCUGCUGUGUGCAUAUGCUUGAGCGCCGCUGCUGAUGGUGAUGCAUACUUGUGUUGCUGCUGCUGUUGUUUCUAUUUUAUUACUACUAGAGUUUCUUGCUGCUGGAGAUCUCAUGGUGGUUUGAUUGAUUGUUGAUGAUAGACUACAAAUUUAAGAUGAGCUAGGAUGCUAAUCAAACUAGAUAAUGAAAACCUUAUACGAGUUCUCCUGCUCAGCAUCGCCACCCUUCAGGCAGAUGUGAUUAUUCCUUCUAUACUCACUAAUUUGGCCCUUUAUAAACAUGCCAAGCUCCAUACAUUUGGCUUGGGGAAAUAACUUGUUAUGUUGGAAUCAACCUAUCAGCUUAACCACCAGUACUUUUAACUAAUAUGACCAGCCAUGCAGGGGCGACGGAAGGGCAGCAAGGGCCUGCAAGGAGCAGCAGGACAGCGGCAGCUGUGUUAUGAGCAGAAGCUUAGUUCAUCCCUCCAUUUGGGUUGAGGUUGUGUUAUGUUUGGGUCAAACAGGUACAAGGGUACAAUGGUCAUAUAUUUUGUUCACUUGUGUUGUUUAGUAUUUCUAAAGUUUGUUUUUGUGUUGAAAAGUGGCAAAAGAUCAAAUUCCAAAGAAAAGAGUGUCAUCUGGUCAAUUACAAAGUAAGGAGUGGCAUAUUUUCAAAGUUCAAAGAAAGAGGUGGCAAAUAAUCAAAUCCCCCUUUUAUUUAUUGUGGCAUGAAUAUUCAAAUCCGAAAGACUCAAGACAAAAGUUUAAUAUUGACAUAAAAACAUUAAUACUUCAAGCAUACUAACUAAGCAAUCAUGUCUUCUCAAAAUAACAUGGCAAAAGAAAGUUCAUCCCUACAAAAUCAUUUAGUUUGGUCAUGCUCCAUUUUUGUCACACAAGAAUGCUCUCAUCUUGCACAACCCCGAUGACAAGCCAAGCAAUUUUUUCAUACUUUAGUAAUCUCAAACUUUUUUCAACUUUCACGCAAUACAUGAGCAUGAGCCAUGGAUAUAGCACUAUGGGUGGAAUAGAAUAAUAUGAUGGGGGUUAUGUGGAGAAGACAAAAAGGAGAAAGUCUCACAUUGACGCCACUAAUCAAUGGUCUAGGGAGAUGCCCAUCAAUUGAUGUCAAUGCAAGGAGUAGGGAUUGCCAUGCAACGGAUGCACUAGAGCUCUAGAUGUAUGAAAGCUCAACAAAAGAAACUAAGUGGGUGUGCAUCCAACUUGCUUGCUCACAAAUACCUAGGGCAUUUGAGGAAGCCCAUUGUUGGAAUAUACAAGCCAAGUUCUAUAGUGAAAAAUUCCCACUAGUAUAUGAAAGUGACAAAACAAGAGACUCUCUAUCAUAAAGAUCAUGGUGCUACUUUGAAGCACAAGUGUGGAAAAAGAGGAUAGUAGCAUUGUCCCUUUUUAUUUAUUUUCCCCUUUUUUUGGGCCUUUCUUUUUUUAUUUGGCCUUUCUCUUUUUUUAUUUGGGAUAAUGCUCUAUUAAUGAUGAUCAUCACACUUCUAUUUAUUUACAACUCAAUGAUUACAACUCGAUACUAGAACAAAAUAUGACUCUAUAUGAAUGCCUCCGGCGGUGUACCGGGAAUGGCAAUGAAUCAAGAGUGACAUGUAUGAUAAAUUAUGCAUGGUGUCUUUGCCACAAAUAUGAUGUCAACUACAUGAUCAUGCAAAGCAAUACGACAAUGAUGAAGCGUGUCAUAAAUGAAAUGGUAGAAAGUUGCAUGGCAAUAUAUCUCGGAAUGGCUAUGGAAAUGCCAUAAUAGGUAGGUAUGGUGUCUGUUUUGAGGAAGAUAUAAGGAGGUUUAUGUGUGAUAGAGCGUAUCAUAUCACGAGGUUUGGAUGCACCGGCGAAGUUUGCACCAAUUCUCAAGGUGAGAAAGGGCAAUGCACGGUACCGAAGAGGCUAGCAAUGAUGGAAGGGUGAGAGUGCGUAUAAUCCAUGGACUCAACAUUAGUCAUAAAGAACUCACAUACUUAUUGCAAAAAUCUACAAGUCAUAAAAAACCAAGCAAUACGCGCAUGCUCCUAGGGGAUAGAUUGGUAGGAAAAGACCAUCGCUCGUCCCCGACCGCCACUCAUAAGGAAGACAAUCAAAGAACACAUCAUGUUUCAAAUUUGUUACACAACGGUUACCAUACGUGCAUGCUACGGGGCUUGCAAUCUUCAACACAAGUAUUUCUCAAAUUCACAACUACUCAACUAGCACAACUUUAAUAUCACCAUCCUCAUAUCUCAAAAUAAUUAUCAAGCAUCCAACUUCUCAUAGUAUUCAACGCACUUUUUAUGCAAGUUUUUAUUAUACCAAUCUUGGAUGCCUAUCACAUUAGGACUACUUUUAUAACCAAAGCAAAUUACCAUGAUGUUCUAAAGGACUCUCAAAAUAAUAUAAGUGAAUCAUGAGAGAUCAAUAAUUUCUAUAAAAUAAAACCACUACCGUGCUCUAAAAGAUAUAAGUGAAGCACUAGAGCAAAAUUAUCUAGCUCAAAAGAUAUAAGUGAAGCACAUAGAGUAUUCUAAUAAAUUCCAAUUCAUGUGUGUCUCUCAAAAAAGGUGUGUACAGCAAGGAUGAUUGUGGUAAACUAAAAAUCAAAGACUCGAAUCAUACAAGACGCUCCAAACAAAACACAUAUUAUGUGGUGAAUAAAAAUAUAGCCUCAAGUAAAGUUACCGAUGGAAGAAGACGAAAGAGGGGAUGCCUUCCGGGGCAUCCACAAGUUUAGGCUUUUGGUUUUCCUUGAAUUUUACCUUGGGGUUCCUUGGGCAUCCCCAAGCUUAGGCUCUUGCCACUCCUUAUUCCAUAACCCAUCAAAUCUUGACCCAAAAAUUGAAAACUUCACAACACAAAACUCAACAGAAAAUCUCAUAAACUCCGUUAGUAUAAGAAAACAAACCACCUCUUAAGGUACUAUAAUGAAAUCAUUCUUUAUUUAUAUUGGUGUUAAAACUACUGUAUUCCAACUUCUCUAUGGUUCAUACUCUCCGAUACGAGCCAUAGAUUCAUCAAAAUAAGCAAACAACACACGAAAAACAGAAUCUGUCAAAAACAGAAUAUUCUGUAGUACUCUGUAGUUUUCGAAUACUUAUGUAACCACAAAAAUUAUGAAAUAAAUUUGUGGACGUGAGGAAUUUGUCUAUUAAUCAUCUUAAAAAAUAAUCAACCUAAUCGCACUCUCAAGUAAAAAAUGGCAGCAAAUCUCGUGAGCGCUAAAGUUUCUGUUUUUACAGCAAGAUCACUAAAACUCCCCCCAAGCCUUCCCAAAGGUUCUACUUGGCACAAACACUAAUUAAAAGCAUAAAACCACAUAUAAACAGUGGCUAGAUGAAUUAUUUAUUACUAAACAGAACCAAAAAUCAAAAAACAAAAAUAAAAUUGUGUUGCCUCCCAACAAGCGCUAUCGUUUAACGCCCCUAGCUAGGCAUAAAAGCAAGAAUAGAUCUAGGUAUUAUCAUCUUUGGUACGCAAUUCAUAGGUAGCUCUCAUAAUAGAUUUCAUAAGGUAAUUUAAUUUUCUUCCUAGGAAAGUGUUCCAUGCCUUUCCUUAACUGAAAUUGGAAAUAUUCCCUUCUUUCAUAUCAAUAAUUGCACCAAUCGUUCUAAGGAAAGGUCUAGCAAGAAUAAUGGGACAUGUAGGAUUGCAAUCAAUGUCAAGAACAAUGAAAUCUACGGUCACAUAAUUCCUAUUUUCAACAAUAAUAACAUCAUUAAUCCUUCCUGUCGGUGUCAAAACCGGCAGAUCUCGGGUAGAGGGUCCCGAACUAUGCGUCUAAGGCGGAUGGUAACACGAGGCAGGGGACACGAUGUUUUACCCAGGUUUGGGCCCUCUUGAUGGAGGUAAAACCCGACGUCCUACUUGAUUUAUUCUUGAUGAUAUGAGUAUUACAAGAGUUGAUCUACCACGAGAUCGGAGAGGCUAAACCCUAAAAGCUAGCCUAUGGUAUGAUUGUAUGUUAUUCUACGGACUAAAACCCUCCGGUUUAGAUAGACACGGGAAAAGGCUAGGGUUACACAAGGUCGGUUACAAAGGAGGAGAUAUACAUAUCCGUAUUGCCUAGCUUGCCUUCCACGCCAAGUAGAGUCCCAUCCGGACACGAGACGAAGUCUUCAAUCUUGUAUCUUCAUAGUCUAACAGUCCGCCAAAGGAUAUAGUCCGGCUGUCCGGAGACCCCCUAAUCCAGGACUCCCUCAGUAGCCCCUGAACCAGACUUCAAUGCCGAUGAGUCCGGCGCGCAGUAUUGUCUUCGACAUUGCAAGGCGGGUUCCUCCUCCGAAUACACCAUAGAAGAAUUUGAAUACAAGGAUAGUGUCCGACCCUGCAAAAUAAGUUCCACAUACCACCGUAGAGAGAAUAAUAUUUCCACAAAUCUAAUUUGCUGACUUAUUUUGGCAACACGACAUUAUGCCAUGGCCCGGUGAUUAUUCGAACCGUUUCCUUUAACUCACCCCGCACAUAACACGAGGCAGUUUUUUGACACGUCUUGUCAAAGCAGAGAUCGUGUCCCCCUUAUUACGGGAUUCUCAUCAAUACGGGCGUGGGUGACCCAACCGCGCCAUCGAUUACGGUGCUUGGGGGAUAAGCGAGUUUUACCAGGCUAGUGGGGGCGCAUAGUUUCGGCCGCCCUUAUAAAGGGACAAGGUUUAACCUUUUUCUACCCACGCCUUCUUCCUCCUUGCUCAUCCUCUCUUGCGCACUCGAGCUCCAACGCCCAAGCCUACAUCCUUCCCCUCAACCUUCUCCAAUCAUGUCCGGAGCGGGAGGCAAAUGGAUGGCUUCCUCUGUUACGGAGGGACACAUCAAGAAGCUGCGCGGGGCCGGAUACUUGGCCGCGAACAUCACGCAUCGGCUGCCCGCUGCGGGGCAGAUCGUUCCUACCCCUGAACCUCACGAGAGGGUAGUCUUCCUCCACCACUUCCUCCGUGGACUGGGAUUUCCCCUCCAUCCAUUCGUCCGUGGUCUCAUGUUCUACUACGGUCUGGACUUCCAUGAUCUAGCCCCAAACUUCGUCCUCAAUAUUUUGGCAUUCAUCGUCAUGUGUGAGGCUUUCCUCCGCAUCCGGCCCCACUUCGGCCUGUGGCUAAAGACCUUUAAUAUCAAGCCGAACGUGGUGGGCGGCCAACAAGCAGAAUGUGGCGGAGCCAUGGUGGGCAAGAUGCCCAACAUUAUAUGGCUUGAAGGCUCCUUCGUGGAGACCAUAAAGGGGUGGCAAUCAGUGUGGUUCUACAUCACCGAGCCGCACAACGCCAAAUGGGUGGCCGCCCCCAAGUUUCAAUCCGGAAUCCCCAUGUGGCUCACUUCCUGGAAAGAGAAGGGCCUGUCCUGGGGUCCAUCGGUGGAGCUGGACGGACUCCAGAAAUGUAUCCAGAAUAUGGAAGGCAAGAAGCUUAAGCUUGUCAACAUAGUCCAGGUCAUGCUCAUCCGCCGGAUCCUCCCGUGCCAACAACGGACUUCAACUUGUGGGAGUUCGACCCGGCCCAUCACCAGACUCUAAGCGAGCUCUUCGACACGACGCAUAAGGACAUCUGGAAGGUGCUGUUCAAGGGUGCCGAGGUCCCUCCCUCCCUCACCGAGGACCGCGGGCUAAGCGCGAAGCGCCGAGCGCAUUCGGUGAGUUCUAUACAUCCGGUAGGAUAUUUUAUUUCCCCUAGCUUAAUCAUGUGCGGGGUCUGAUCUCCAUGCCUUUGAUAGGACUGGAUGGAGACGUCGGGGUAGAUUAACUGUCCGGCCCCUCUGCCCGAAGAUACUGCGGACGCUCUCCUUACGGAGAUGCUGACUCCGACCCCUUAUAAGGUGCCGGAGAAGACCAAGAAGGCCAAGGGAACCUGAAAGAGUCCCCGAUGCCAGGUGUUAUCGGACUCAUCGUUGGAUAACUCUGCGACACACUCCUCCCCGAAGACAAGGAGGAAGAAGAAGAUGCUCCCCCUUCAGUUGGGGGAGACAAGAAAAGGAAGGCCGCCCCAUCCGGGGGGGCCGAAGGGUCCAAGAAGGGAAGGACCCUCCUUCCGGACUACUCCACCACCGUCGCCGAAGGCGAAGACGAGUGGCUGCUCAGGGCCAAGCCCCUGGCGAAGUCAUAAGUAUCCGGAUGCCAGAGUAGUUCAUAGCAUACCUUUGUCACACCGCUUCUCCUAACGCCGAAUUAUGAUUAUGCAGACCGCCACGAGCCCGUAUGGACGUAUCAUCGGACGGCUCCCUGGGCUCGUCGGAUAUGGAUAGCGAUCCACUUCUGACCGCCACCUCCCCUUGCCCUACGGAGAACGCCGAGGUAUUGUCUCAAGAGGCACUGGGUCGAGGGGAGACAGUCCCAGAGGCGCCUUAAGGCGACCUUCCGGACUCCGGGAGCAGAGGGAGCAAGGCUCCUGAGGGCUCCAAGUUCGGCCAUCAGCCGAACACCGCAUCGGAACCUCCAAUGGUUCCGGACUCAGGCAGGUGACCUCCUUCCAAAAGGGGCAAGACGCCUGUGCCGGUGACCUCUGUCCAACCAGAGGCACCGAACAAUCUACUGGGAGCGCUUCGCAACGCUUCCAUCGACGAAGAGCACCGCACUAUUAUGAGUGCGGUGGUCCAGAAGGUUCAGUCCGCCAAGAGCGGAUUGACUGAAGCCUGUGCCAGCCUUCUAACAGGCUUUGAGGUAAGUUUUUUGAAAUAUAGGAAAAAUAUUACCGCAUAGACAGUAGCCCCUGAUGCUCUGUUCGGUGUUCAAAAAGAAAAGCUGAACAGAGGAUCAAACAAUAUCGCAGGAGUCUGAUAUAAGUAUGUCAAUAUGCGUAUGCAGGCUUCACUGCUGGCCUCUGCCGCACUGACUGCGGAGGUCGCCGCGCUAAAGCAGGACCUCAAAGGGUCCAAGGACGAGCUCGGCCUUGCCAAGACGCAGCUCGAGGAGAACAAAGGUAAGUAGUACCUAGUAUAUGGAUGUGUAUAAAAAGAACGCGAUUGCAAAAUGACAGGAUCAUCGUAAAUUUGCCAGGGGCCACGACCAAGGUGGCGACCCUGAAGCAAGCGCUAUCAGAGGCCGAAAACAAAGCGGCCACGGAGCGUACCGAGCAGUAAAGGCAUUAGGCUCGAGUGGGCGAGGUGCAGAAAGAGCUCCACGCUCUCGUGACGAAGCACGAGGCAUUGGAGUUUGACUUGAAGACGCGACAGUCUGAGCUUGCCGCGGCCCUCGAGAGCGCAAAGAGUGCCAAGGCCGAAGCCCAAAAGGCCCUCCAGGAGAUUGACGCGAUGUAGAAAAUAGCCGGUGGGUAAGGAAUUCUAUAUGCAAAGAAAGCAUGUGAAAGUAAAUUACCUAUUACUUACCCGAAUCCGGAGCUCUCCAGGAGCAUUCGCAGAUUUGCCCCUCAGCGUGUCGGAUGUCGCACAGUUUUACCAGGCCGAGGAGGGAAGCUCAACGGAGAAGCUGUUCUGGUCUCAGUAUACUGGGACCAAACACCCGAUGCCUUUGAGCGACCAGCUGAAGCAACUGGUCGAGUUGCACAAGGUGGCCGAACAGGCCAUGAAGGGCUUUAUAGUCCAGAUGUGGCCUGGUGAUGCGGCUUGUGGAUGCCUGCCCAUGGCUGGAAGUCAUCAAGCGGUCCGUCUGCAUCGAAGGUGCGCGCCGGGCUUUAGCCCGUGUGAAGGUGCAAUGGGCCAAGCUGGACGCCAUGAAGCUGAUUAAGGAAGGGCCGCCGGAGGGCAAGGAGCAUCGCCACCCCGAGAUGUACUAUGAGGGUGUCCUGAAGGGUGCUCGUCUCGUAGCGGACGAGUGUACGAAAGAUAUAAUAUUCGAGUAAACUUGCUCGUGUAAUCCUAUAGUUAUGAAAACUUGUUCAUAUGCGCUAUGCAACGCUUGUUUGAAUUUAAAAUAUUACCUUCUGUUUGGCUGUUUAUCAAAUCUGAGAGAUGGCUAGUCGUCGGCUUCUACCCCCAUGCCACGAGUGCUGGGGUGUUCGGGAUAAACCUGAGCACUCUUGUUCCCAUUGUUGGGUCCUUCGAGGGAGGUGCUCAGCACAACGAACAAGGAAAUCGGACUAUAAUGCGUUAUCACUCUCACUUAGCCAUAGAAUUCUAUAAUUUUAAAUUUUGGCGAAGCCCCUAGUAUUCGGAAGGCCGAAUUCGGGGCGCUACACGCCUUAAGCUGGACAGGGCGGACUCCUCACUCUAAGCGGCAUAAGUCUUUAGGGACUCGAAAACCUCUCGAACAGCGACCAGUCUCUCGCCUUAUCAUGACAAUCAGUUUUAGCUUUCUCUACUGAGGUGCUUAGCCUAGCUGAACCGGGGCACAAUCGCAGUAGUUCUCCCAGUGCUACCUUAGCCGAUAUAGUGGAACGUAAGGUACCAUAACAUGGGAGCCGGGCAAACCCAACUAUUGACCAAAGACAUGAUUCGGAGCUGAUGCAUACAAUGCUAUAAGUUCAGGGUGCCACACUUGUGAAAGUGUUCGGACUUCUCACACCAUAUUGUGGGGUACUUAAGACCCUGGUGUACUGGCCGUACCAAAGUGUACGGUUGCAAGGUGUCAUUAAUGAACACAUAUAUAAAAGAAAAAUGCAAAAACAGACUAAAGCUAUGCAUUGUUUAUUCGAAAAGAUGCAUUGAAGCAAAACGAUACAAGUGGUGCGAUAAGCAGAAAAUGGGACUAUUUGACAUGUCUCUUCCAAGGGUAAGUUGCGGAAUGGUAGUGAAAGCGGGUAUUUUGCUCGUUAUAGAGACCACCUGGGAGUUCCAUGAUGUGACGUAGCUUCCAGCCCCCCUGGUCCUUGCAUCGUGUGUUCGUCAAUUAUAUUGCUGGACAGGGUUUCCAGAGAGUGAAGUCCUGGAAGAGAGAAAAAUAACAAAGUAGGGAUCCCCUAGUGCGGUUGAGCCGCGUUUUGGGGCGUGCCAUAGUCGUGCCCCUCCCCUGUGCCCAUGGUAUUUUUAAUGCGUAAUUGUGUACGCGUGGCACGUGUGUCGCCAUUUGGAUGGGGCUGGGGUAGGGGCCGCAUUGCUAUGCGAGCUCAGAACAUGCCAGGCGGUCCUGUUGUAGAUUACUUCGGGCAUGCUUGACGGUGUCCGGAUGUCUGAUUGCCGGACUGGAGAAUUGCCUUGAUAGGCUGCUUUGCACUUCUGCUGUGAGGGCCGCAGAGUGCUCCUCGGUUCAGAGAGAGCGCUCUGUGUUUCCAUUGACUGUAAUGACCCCCCAAGGUCCUGGCAUCUUAAGCUUGAGGUAUGCGUAGUGCGGCACCGCAUUGAAUUUUGCAAAUGCGGUUCGUCCAAGCAGUGCGUGAUAGCCACUGCGGAACGGGACUAUGUCAAAGUUUAGCUCCUCGCUUCGGAAAUUAUCCGGGGAUCCGAAGACCACUUCUAGUGUGACCGAGCCUGUGUGGGCCUCUACACCUGGUAUUAUGCCCUUAAAGGUCGUUUUUGUGGGUUUAAUCCUUGAGGGAUCUAUGCCCAUUUUGCACACUGUGUCCUAAUAAAGCAGGUUCAAGCUGCUACCACCGUCCAUAAGGACUCGAGUGAGGUGAAAUCCGUCAAUGAUUGGGUCUAGAACCAAUGCGGCAAAUCCGCCAUGGCGGAUACUAGUGGGGUGGUCCCUGCGAUCGAAAGUGAUCGGGCAGGAGGACCAUUGGUUGAACUUUGGGGCGACUGGCUCCAACGCGUAUACGUCCCUUAACGCACGCUUCCACUCCCUCUUGGGGAUGUGGGUUGCGUAUAUCAUGUUCACCGUCCGCACUUGUGGGGGAAACCCCUUCUGUCCUCCGGUGUUCGGUGGUCAGGGCUCCUCCUCGUUGUUGCUAUGUAGCCCCUUGUCUUUGUUUUUGGCAUUUAACUUGCCGGCAUGCUUGAACACCCAACAAUCCCUGUUGGUGUGGUUGGCUGGCUUGUCAGGGGUGCCAUGUAUCUGACACGAGCGAUUGAGUAUAUGGUCCAAACUGGACGGGCCUGGAGUGCUUCUUUUGAAUGGAUUUUUCCGUUGACCGGGCUUAGAGCCUAUGAAUCUGGCAUUAAUUGUCAUAUCCUCGGCAUUGUCGCUGUUAAUGCGGCGCUUGUGCUUGUUGUGACGUGACCUGCCAUUGUUGUCCUUGGUAUCCGAAUUACCAGGGCUCUUUGACAUGUUAUUGCUACGAGCUAGCCAGCUGUCUUCUUCCGCGCAAAAGCGGGUCAUGAGUGUCGUGAGGGCUGCCAUAGAUUUCAGCUUUUCCUGUCCAAGGUGCCGGGCAAGCCACUCGUCGUGGAUGUUAUGCUUGAAAGCUGCUAGGGCCUCUGCAUCCGACAGUCGACGAUUUGAUUUUUCUUAGUUAGGAACCGUGUCCAGAAUUGCCUGGCCGAUUCCUCUGGCUGUUGAAUUAUGUGGCUCAAGUCACCGGCAUCUGGUGGUCGCACAUAGGUGCCCUGGAAGUUGUCGAGGAAUGCGGCUUCCAGGUACUCCCAACAACCUAUGGAUUCUGCUGGCAAGCUGUUGAGCCAAUGCCGGGCUGGUCCUUUAAGCUUGAGUGGGAGGUAUUUAAUGGCGUGUAGAUCGUCACCACGGGCCAUGUGGAUAUGAAGGAGAUAGUCCUCGAUCCAUACCGCGGGAUCUGUCGUACCAUCAUAUGGUUCGAUAUUCACGGGUUUGAAACCCUCUGGGAUUUGAUGAUCCAUUACUUCUUCUGUGAAGCAUAACGGGUGUGCGGCGCCUUGUACUGGGCUAUAUCACGACGCAGCUCGAAUGAGUUUUGUCUGUUGUGUUCGGCCCGGCCGGAUUUACUUUUGCUGUAUCCGGCGUGACGGUUAUCGUCUCGUGUCGUGGGGCGCCCACGCGAUCCGUAGAUCGAUCUUGUUUGCCUUGCUUUGUCCUCCAAUAUAUCUCCCAGGUCUAGCGCGUUUCCCCAAGCCUUGGUAUUUUUUGAGUGGCGCCGGGGUGCGACUUGAGUUGUGGGCCGAGAGGCCUCUCUGUCGCGGCCACGAGGUGGCCGGUCAACCGCGUCAUACGCUAGGGACGUAGGUUUAGAUGCUUCCUCCUCUAAUCGGGGUAGCAACCUGCAUUUUGGGUAGCUUUUGGAGGGGCGUUCGAGUUCAUAUUCCUCGGCCGCAAGGACUUCAGUCCAUCUGUCGGCUAGCAAGUCUUGAUCAGCUCUAAGCUGCUGCUACUUUUUCUUAAGGCUAUUUGCCGUGGCUAUAAGCCGGCGCUUGAAGCGCUCUUGCUCAGUGGGAUCCUCAGGCACGACAAAUUCAUCGUCGCCGAGGCUUGCCUCGUCUUCGGAGGGAGGUAUGUAAUUAUCAUCGUCUUCCUCUCUAUCUGCCGCUCUCUCAUGAGGGAUGGCUUCUCCAUCCACCUGUGCUGAAUCUUGCUGGAGGAGGUUGUCUUCGGCACUGUCCGGGGUGUUAUUAUCUCCUGUGCUGGAAUCACCGUUUUUGCUUUGGCGGGACUUAGAGCGGCGCCGCUGACACCGGCGCUUAGGUUGCUUCUUGGAGGGGUCAUCCUCCGCUGUUCCGUCGCCAUUGCCUUCUUUGGAUGUGUCCACCAUAUAUAUGUCAUACGACGAGGUGGCUUUCUAGUGCCCUAUAGGCGCUGGUUCCUGUUCGUCUCCUGCAUCGUCGUCCAUACCGUCGAUGUCUUCGGAGUCGAAGUCGAGCAUGUAGGUCAAGUCAUCAACAGUGGCUAUGAAGUGGGUGGUGGGUGGGCGUCGAAUUUCUUCGUCGUCCGCAUCCCAAUCCUGCCGGUCAUUAUCUGGCCAGGACUCUCCUGACAAAGAGAGAGACCUUAGUGAAUUCAGUAUGUCGCCGAAGGGCGAGUGCUGAAAGAUAUCCGUGGCAGUGAACUCCAUGAUCGGCGCCCAAUCGGAUUCGAUUGGCAGGGGCGGGGAUGGUCCAGAGUCCGGAGGAGAGUCCGACGAUGGGGAGUCACGGGCCUCGCGAAGGAUAAGGUUGGUGUUCGGUUCGAUCUCCGUUGAGGUUGCUGCCUCCGUGGUGGGGUCUAACCACCCGCCCUCGGAUGGCGCAGUUGGCUCCGAAUUAAAGGUCGGAGCGGCUGCAGGUGCGGUCUCCAGGACACUGUUCGGUGGCAGAGCUAAAUCAUGCCCAUCGUGACAGUGCGGCGCAUUGGGCAUGGGCUUGAAUCCGUCGAAGAUCAAGUCUCCGCGGAUGUCGGCCGUGUAGUUUAGGCUUCCAAACCUGACCUGAUGGCCAGGGGAGUAGCUUUCAAUCUGCUCCAGAUGGCCAAGCGAAUUGUCCGGCAGUGCAAAGCCGUCGAAUACAAAAAUCUGUCUGGGGAGAAAAGUCUCACCCUGGACUGCGUCGCUAACGAUGAUCGAAGGAGCCAUCAAGCCUGAUGAUGACGACACAGAGGAACUCUCAAUGAAAUCACCAAUGUCGGUGUCAAAACCGGCAGAUCUCGGGUAGGGGGUCCCGAACUGUGCGUCUAAGGCGGAUGGUAACAGGAGGCAGGGGACACGAUGUUUUACCCAGGUUUGGGCCCUCUUGAUGGAGGUAAAACCCUACGUCCUGCUUGAUUUAUUCUUGAUGAUAUGAGUAUUACAAGAGUUGAUCUACCAUGAGAUCAGAGAGGCUAAACCCUAAAAGCUAGCCUAUGGUAUGAUUGUAUGUUAUUCUACGGACUAAAACCCUCCGGUUUAUAUAGACACCGGAAAGGGCUAGGGUUACAUAAGGUCGGUUACAAAGGAUGAUAUAUACAUAUCCGUAUUUCCUAGCUUGCCUUCCACGCCAAGCAGAGUCCCAUCCGGACACGAGACGAAGUCUUCAAUCUUGUAUCUUCAUAGUCUAACAGUCCGGCCAAAGGAUAUAGUCCGGCUGUCCGGAGACCCCCUAAUCCAGGACUCCCUCACUUCCCAUAGGUUUCUUAAUAGUGGAAUCCGCAAGAUGCAAAUUUAAAGAACAAUCAUCAAAUUCACGGAAACCUAACACAUCACACAAAGUUUUCGGAAUCAUGGAAACACUAGCACCCAAAUCACAUAAAGCAUAGCAUUUAUGAUCUUUAAUCUUAAUUUUAAUAGUAGAAUCCCUCUCAUCAUGAAGUUUUCUAGGGAUAGAAACUUCUAAUUCAAGCUUUUGUUCAUAAGAUUGCAUCAAAGCAUCAACGAUAUGUUUGGGAAAAGCUUUAUUUUGAGUAUAAGCAUGCGGAGAAUUUAGCAUGGAUUGCAACAAGGAAAUACAAUAUAUUAAAGAGCAAUUAUCAUAAUUAAAUUCCUUGAAAUCCAAAGUAGUGGGCUCAAUGCUAUGUAAAGUUUUGACCUCUUCAAUCCCACUUUUACCAAUUUUGCAUCAAGAUCUAAAAACUACGAAUUAUUGGGACACCUUUUAACUAAAGCUGACUCAUCUCUAGUCCCAUAAUUAUCAAGAUUCAUGUUGCAAAACAAAUAUUUAAUAGGAGACACAUCAAUCACUUUUAGAUCUGCAUCCUUAUUAUCAUCAAAACUAGAAGAACACGCUUUUAUAAAGCAAUCCUUUUUAGCAUGCAUCCUAGCAGUUCUUUCUUUGCACUCGUUAAUGGAAAUUCUCAUGGCUUUGAGAGACUCAUUGAUACCAUGCUUAGGUGGAAUAGAUCUAAGUUUCAAAGAAUAAACAUCAAUAUAAAUUCUAUCCAUGUUUCUAGCCAACUCAUCAAUCUUAGACAAUUUUUCUUCAAUCAAAGCAUUUUUCUUUAACCACCUGAGUGCGACCCUGUCACGGGGCAAAAGUAGCGCGCCCCAUCAGACACAGUGUCUGAUGGGUAGCGCGAGUAACAGCCUGUUUUGCGUGAGCGAUUCGGCCCUAAGGACGGCCUCCAAUCGAAAAACGUUCAACACAAAAGUUAUUCGUCUCAUCGAAGUGGUCAAAUUUGCUUUUGGGUUCAUCUUCAUCUGAGGUCAUUUGUGGGCUAUGGGACCUAAAAACCAAAUUGAUGUUCCAGACUUACCUAAAUCCAGGUUUGGUUAAUUUUGGAAAGAUUUGUGAUUUGGACAUGAUUUGGAGUCCUUUUCUUGUACGGGAAGUCCAGCCUCCUCUUAUAUACCUAAGGGGUGACGGUCGAGUGAACAACACAUAAUCGCAAAAUCCAUCUACUUUUUACCCUAGUUUUACAUCUCCCUCUCUUGUUCUUUCUCUCUCAUUCUUCGUUUGUUCUUCAUAUUGAAGGGCACCGGUCCUCAAGGCUCUAGGGGCGGGCGAACCGACCUAGGGCAACCCAUAGUCGCCGUGCGUCCAGACAGGGUCCCUCCCAGGCAUAUGGGGUUUCGGGUCCUGAAAAGCGCCCGCCGGAUUGCUUGCGUACCACGCUUCCGGACGGGUCUCCUUCGACGCGAGCUGUGGUGCAUCACCCUCGGCGUUGGUGGUACACGGUAACGUGUUCAUGUGCGAGCACCCGCUUUCCUUUGAAAAUGAUACUCCGAAACCCUGAGGCUACCGGAAGAAUAGUGGAGUGGGCAUUGGAGUUAUCCAGCUUUGGCCUGAAAUUAGAAAGCACAUCAACGAUUCAGAAUAGGGCAUUGGCAGAGUUUAUUACAGAAUGGACGCCAAACCCUGAUGAAGAAGUGCUGGAAACAGUUUUUCCCGACAAGGAAGCACCCCAAGAAUGGAUCAUGUAUUUUGAUGGUGCCUUCUCCCUACAAGGUGCAGGGGCUGGUGUGCUUCUCGUUGCUCCCAUUGGAGAGCACCUGAAGUACGUUGUCCAGAUGCAUUUUCCCCGGGAGGAGGCGACCAACAAUACAACAGAGUAUGAAGGGCUCCUUGCCGGGCUCAAGAUUGCCACUGAAUUGGGAAUCAAGAAGCUGAUCAUUCGAGGGGAUUCACAACUUGUGGUGAGACAAGUCAACAAGGAUUACCAAAGUCCAUUGAUGGAGGCAUAUGUUGAGGAAGUGAGAAGACUGGAGGAGCGCUUUGAUGGAUUGCAAACAGAGCACGUACCCCGUGCGGAAACCAACAUUGCUGAUCAUCUGUCAAAGUGUACUGUGCAAAAGCUUCCUGUAAAACCAGGCACUUUUGUUCUCCAUCUUACUCAGCCCUCCGUAUCCCCAGCAACAAUGGCAUGAAAGAGGAGGAAACUGGACUCUGGUAAGCCUCUCCCGGUAGAGCCUCUCGGGGCUCCUGGCAGGGACCCUGCCGGAAACAACUCCCCUUUGAUUUUCGGGCUGCACCUGUAACACCCCGGAUGUAAUUUACCAUAUUUGUACUCCAACUCUUGCCGUUUCCGGCACUAAGUUAUUCUAUUGUCCUCGUUGUCGGGUUUUUUUCUCCGUGUGUUUUUGUCUUUGUCAUGUAUCUCAUAUCAUGUCAUCAUGUGCAUUGCAUUUGCAUAUGUGUUUGUCUCAUGCAUCCGAGCAUUUUCCCCGUUGUCCGUUUUGCAUUCCGGCGCUCCUAUGUCCUCCGGUGGUCCUUUCUACCUCUUUUCGUGUGUGAGGGUUAAACAUUUUCGGAUUGGACCGAGACUUGUCAUGCGGGCCUUGGUUUACUACCGGUAGACCGCCUAUCAAGUUUCGUACCAUUUGGACUUCGUUUGAUACUCCAACGGUUAACCGAGGGACUGAAAAGGCCUCGUGUGUGUUGCAGCCCAACACCCCUCCAAACUGGCCCAAAAUCCACCUAAACCUCCUCCAUCAUCUAGAGCGUUCGAUCACGAUCGUGUGUCUGUAAACCGCAUCUUAUUUGGAGUCUCCUAGCUCCUCCUACCUCUAUAAAUAGGCCUCCCUCUUGAAAUCCCGGGUCUUCUCCCCCCGAAACCCUAAAAUCCACGCUCCGCUGACCGGACAUGUCCGUUUCCGGCCGGAUGAAGACGUCGCCGCCGUCCGCACCAACUAGUGCCUGACACCUGUCACCGCCACCCCCACUGGCCAUGCGGCCCGCCGAGCCCACGCCCGGCCCCCGCGGCCCGCCAUCGCCGCGCCGCUCCAUCGUGCUGCCGCCGCCCUCGUCCNNNNNNNNNNNNNNNNNNNNNNNNNNNNNNNNNNNNNNNNNNNNNNNNNNNNNNNNNNNNNNNNNNNNNNNNNNNNNNNNNNNNNNNNNNNNNNNNNNNNNNNNNNNNNNNNNNNNNNNNNNNNNNNNNNNNNNNNNNNNNNNNNNNNNNNNNNNNNNNNNNNNNNNNNNNNNNNNNNNNNNNNNNNNNNNNNNNNNNNNNNNNNNNNNNNNNNNNNNNNNNNNNNNNNNNNNNNNNNNNNNNNNNNNNNNNNNNNNNNNNNNNNNNNNNNNNNNNNNNNNNNNNNNNNNNNNNNNNNNNNNNNNNNNNNNNNNNNNNNNNNNNNNNNNNNNNNNNNNNNNNNNNNNNNNNNNNNCGCGCCCCGCGCCGCCCUUGCCGCCCGGUGCCGCCACGCCUCGCCGCUCUGCUCCGGCAUCGUCCUCCAGCUCCGGCAGACUUCGGCCCAAGUCCGGCGACGCCCCGGCCUCUCCGUCCUCCAGCGACCUCCCAUCUCCGGCAACCUUGGGCUCCUCCGAUGAACAGCGCCGCCGGCUAGAUCUGGAUCUGGAUCGUCUAGGGGUUGACUUUUUCGUCCCUAACCCUAGUCUUUUUGCAUUCUUCCACAUGGCAUAACUCUGCAUCCAUAGCUCCGAUUCAUGCGUGUAGCAUAUCGAAAUGUUCGUCUCGAUGAGUACAUCAUUUAAUCUCAUUGCAUCAUUUUCAUUUGAGCUCAUCUUGAUGCCUGAAAUGUUGUUGGAAGAGGGCUAUGUGAUGAUUAUGUCAGAUUUGUUUCAGCAAAUGACCUUUUGUCAUUUUUGCCAUAAUUAAUGUGUGCAUGCUAUGAUCCUGAGCUCUACAUGUGUUUUGUAGAAUGCCAUGCCAUCUUUACAGGGGUGUUUGCCAUGUAUUUUUGUGAUCUUUGUGGUGACUAGCACAAACAUGCAAAGUAGCUUACUCAAUGAUGUUGAUUUCAGGGACUUAGAAUUUCACUAAGUCAUUGUCCUGAUAUUGUUUUUAUGCCAUAUGUUCAUGUUGUUUCCUAGUGAUCCGUGCCUCUUUUGAGGAUGAUCAGUAAGGAUGUUUUGUUAAUAUUGUUGUGCUCUAUCCAUGCAUGUCUUUGUUUUCAAUUAUGAAGCACCCUAGCUUGAGUCAAUCGAGCUCUACUUUUGCUAUAAAAUGUUCCUGGCAGAUUGUUGACAUGUUUAGCGAUUUGGCCGAGGAUGUUGAUAUUGAUCCGUGCAUGCUAUGUUGUUGUUCCUGCCAUGUCUAGCUUCUAUGACAUGUCUUCUUAAUUGGUGUAUGCUUAGAUUGUCAUGCAAUGCCUCGUAGUGAGUGCAUCGAGCUCAUAAACAUGCCUACUUGUUAAUCUGUUUGCAUGCUCCAGUUUUUCACUAAGUCUGAAUCUGUUUAUGUUUUUGCUAUGUUCACAUGCUUGCAAUUGUAUUUUCUGUUCCCUUUUGGCUCAAGGUCACUAAGAGACUUUUAUUAUAUGCUUAGAGUAGCUUCAUGCAAAGCCUUGCUUUGCCAUGAUAUGUUCCUGUAGCAUGUAUUUUUCAUGCUCUAAAGAUUGCUUCCUGAUGAUAAAUUUCUGAUAUGUUGUUAAUUUCACUAAGUCUGAAACCUGUUAUGAUUUGCACAUUUGCCAUGCUUGUUUGAACCUGUUAAUGAGUGAUUUAGCCGUAUCUCAGUGUUCAUAUUUUGUCAAGCAUCAUGAGUGCAUCCCUAACAUGUAUUUUAUUGCUAUGUUUGAGUGCUGUAGCAUAUUUAACUUGAUGCAUUUAGAUGGCUACUUGCUGUUAAUCGCAGACCGGUGCCAUAUUUGUUUUGCUUGCGAUUUCCAAAUCGUGCAUCCGAUUCCGGUGAUCUUUAUAUCGAUUUCAACCGAAAUAAACUCCCAUUUCUAGUGACACUCUUGGAUUUCCAAGUUGAGGCCAGGUUCAAUCAUUCCUUUGCAAAUCUUGCAUAUGCAUCACAUACCGCAUCCCGCAUAUCAUACCAUGUUUGCAUCAUGUUGCUUGAGCAUUGCACGUGGUUGAUUGUGCUCCUUUUGCUUGUUGUUCUUGUUUGGGUAGAGCCGGGAGAUGAGUUCGUGAAUGAGGAGCCCGUUGAGUUCGCUUACGAGGAUCAAGGCAACUCUGAGAACUUUGCAGGCAAGAUGGCCAUACCCUCGAAAUCACUUCUAUCUUUACUUGCUAGAUGCUCGCUCUUUUGCUAUGCGUAUGGUACGAUACCUACCACUUGCUUAUCAUGCCUCCCAUAUUGCCAUGUCAAACCUCUAACCCACCAUGUCCUAGCAAACCGUUGUCUGGCUAUGUUACCGCUUUGAUCAACCCCUCUUAUAGCGUUGCUAGUUGUAGGUGAAGAAUUGGAGAUCGUUCCUUGUUGGAACUUGUUUAUUGUUGGGAUAUCACCAUAUUAUCUUGUUUAUCUUAAUGCACCUAUAUACUUGGUAAAGGGUGGAAGGCUCGGCCUUAUGCCUGGUGUUUUGUUCCACUCUUUCCACCCUAGUUUCCGUCAUAUCGGUGUUAUGUUCCCGGAUUUUGCGUUCCUUACACGGUUGGGUUAUAAUGGGAACUCCUUGACAGUUCGCCUUGAAUAAAACUCUUCCAGCAAUGCCCAACAUUGGUUUUACCAUUCGCCACCUUGCCUUUUUUCCCUUGGGUUUCGCGGACUCAAGGGUCAUCUUUAUUUUAACCCCCCCGGGCCAGUGCUUCUCUAAGUGUUGGUCCAACUGAGCGAUGUGCGGGGCUACCAGGGGCAACUCUGGGCUAGCCUACCCGACGUCUGGCUCAUCUGAGUGUGCCCUGAGAACGAGAUAUGUGCAACUCCUAUUGAGAUUUGUCGGCACAUUCGGGCGGUGUUGCUGGACUUGUUUUACCAUUGUCGAGGAUGUCUUGUAACCGGGAUGCCGAGUCUGAUCGGAAUGUCUUGGGAGAAGGAAUAUCCUUUGUUGACCGUGAGAGCUUGUGAUGGGUUAAGUUGGGACACCCCUGCAGGGAUUUGAACUUUCGAAAGCCGUGCCCGCGGUUAUGGGCAGAUGGGAAUUUGUUAAUGUCCGGUUGCAGAAGACUUGAACUUAACUUAAUUAAAAUGCACCAACCGCGUGUGUAACCGUGAUGGUCUCUUCUCGGCGGAGUCUGGGAAGUGAACACGGUGUUGGAGUAAUGCUUGACGUAGGUUAUUCUAGGAUCACUUCUUGAUCAUAGUUGUUCGACCGUGCUUUUGCCUUCUCUUCUCGCUCUCUUUUGCGAAUAUGUUAGCCACCAUAUAUGCUAGUCGCUUGCUGCAGCUCCACAUCAUACCUUUACCUUACCUAUAAGCUUAAAUAGUCUUGAUCGCGAGGGUGCGAGAUUGCUGAGUCCUCGUGACUCACAGUUUCCUUCCAAACUAGAUGCAGGGACCGAUGAUACCAUUCCAGAUGAUAUGACCGAGCUCAAGUGGGAGUUCGACGAAGACUCUCACCGUUACUAUGUGUCUUUCCCAGAUGAUCAGUAGUGGUGCCCAGUUGGGGCAAUCGGGGACCGUGUCGCAUUUGGGGGUUGAUCUUCAUUCUGGUUCCGUAGUCGGAUCUUGAGUGUAUUGGAUGAAUGUAAUGACUUAUUUAUGUAUUUGUGUGACAUGGCGAGUGUAAGCCAACUAUGUACCUUUCCUCUUUAUUUAUGUACAUGGGUUGUUUCCGAAGAUUACCUCACUUGCGACAUUGCUGUCAAUGCGGUUAUGCCUCUAAGACAUGCUUCGACACGUAGGAGAUAUAGCCGCAUCGAGGGUGUUACAGCACCCCCCCUGCCGGGCCACUGGUCCACGCCAUCGAGGAACGCGCUCCCGUGAAUGAGGAGGUACCGCUAGUCCUUGUUGCCAAGCCCUAGGCUCCAACUUGGGCAAGGCACAUAUUCCACUUCCUCCAAAAUGGAGAACUUCCCAAAGAGCAAGAAGAAGCUGAAAGAGUAGCCCGGAGGGCCAGUAUGUAUCAGUUUGUCGAUGACACACUAUACAGAAGAAAGCCCAACGGUGUGAAAUUGAAGUGCAUUUGCCAGGAAGAAGAAAAGAAACUGCUGGCAGAAAUACACAAAGGCAUGUGCGGCUCCCACAUUGGAUCAAGGGCAUUGGUCGGGGAAGCAUUCCGGCAAGGACUCUAUUGGCCCACAGCCCUCCAAGUUGUGGUCGAGCUAGUCACCAAAUAUGAAGUCUGCCAGUUCCAUCCCAAGAACAUCCAUCUUCCUGCCCAAGCUCUUCAGACAAUCCAUUUGUCAUGGCCGUUUUCGGUCUGGGGGCUCGAUAUCCUCGGCCCUUUCUCCCGAGAUGCCCGGGGCUUUGAAUUCUUGUUCACUGCCAUCGAUAAGUAGACAACGUGGCCGGAAGUAGAAGCCGUGAGAAAGGUGACUACUCAGUCAGCUAUCAAGUUCUUGAAAGGAUUAGUGUGCCGCUUCGGGGUCCCUUCUCGGAUCAUCACCGACAAUGGCACCCAGUUCUUGAGCCACGCCUUCAUGCAAUAUGUUCAUGCCCUCGGAAGCAAAAUCUCAUUGGCCUCUGUUGCACAUCCCAGAAGCAAUGGACAAGGUGAGAGAGCGAACGCUGAAGUGUUGCGUGGACUCAAAACGAGAACAUUUGAUAAUCUAUAGAACUGUGGCAAGCGAUAGAUUGACGAGCUGCCGGUGGUUCUUUGGUCCCUCAGAACAACACCAAAUCGAGCUACUGGGCAAACUCCCUUCUCCCUAAUCUAUGGGGCAGAAGCAGUUAUCCCCAUGGAACUCAUUUACGGGUCACCUCGAGUGCUUGCCUACGAUGAAGUAGAGCAGUUUUAGCACCGGCAUGACAACUCCGUGCUUCUUGAGGAGAACCGUCUUCGGGCUGCUACGCGUGCUGCACACUACCAGCAAGCCCCGCAUAGCUAUCAUAGCUGCAGGGUUCAUGCCCAGUGUUUUGAGGAAGGUGACCUUGUCCUUAGGCAUGUUCAGUCCGCCAAGGGUGCAAACAAGUUGACGUUAAAGUGGGAAGGCCCUUACCGUGCAGACUGAGUCACCAGACCUGGCGCAGUCCGUCUGGAGACCGGAGAUGGCAUUCAAUUGCAAAACUCAUGGAAUAUUGAGCAUGUCCGCAAGUUCUACCCGUAAGGUGCGGCUGUCGGGCCCUGCCCGGUAGCCACCCUUUUGUACAUGCCUUGCCUCAGUUGCAUGUAACCCCUUGUACAAAGCUAGGCGCAGACCCUGAGCAACAGAGAAAUAAAUGAAGCGCUGCGAGCCCUGACAUGUUGCAUGCAUGGAUAAGCAUUUCAUGAGCAUCGCAUGUUCAUGUAGAUAAGGUCACAUAUGGUAUCAUUUCCAUCUGCAUAAACUACAAGAUCCUGCUGAGGACUUGGUCUCCAAGAGGAGAUGGAAAGAUGAGCCUACACUGCGAUCUCCAGCAAGCCAAACAGAUAAGUUCUUUCUCUUAUCCAUACGUGUUUUGUAAGUAAAGACUUGUGCAUAAGAAAACCUCGCCACUUUUUGAAACUUAGGUGCUCCCAUCCCUUGAAUCGAAUGUUGCUUCGCUCAGGAUGGUUGCAUUGGCCUUCGAUGAAAAAAGAAUGACGGGGGGCUGGUCCCUCCUCAUGAUUUGUGCCCGGUAGGACCUGACUCCACGACAACAAAACUGAGGGUACCGGCAGGAUAGCCUACCGGGGGAAAACUUGUUUACUUAAAAGUAUAGAGGCAUUCCGCCUCUGCAUGGACAUAUUACAUGCAUGAGUCCCCGGCAAGGUUUAUCUUUUUCAUUAAUAUGCUGAUCAAACAAGUACUGACCUUACAUGACACAAACGUGGAUCCAAGAGGUUACAUAAUUUGAACUAAAAUUUGGCAAGUGCCUAUAGAUUUAAGAUUGAAAAUAAGAUGAGUGCCCCGUGAUGCCCUUUCUUGUCCCUCUCCUCCUAGGCAUUGCGACGGGAGGUGAAGAGGGCAAAAGGGGUGCCUGGGCAGAAGCCUAGCCUGACCCUGUCGGUCUCCAGGAGAGGUAGCCCGACUGGGGCGGGAGGGCACAGACAAAGGCGAUGGUGAAGAGAUCGGCGGAGGCAACCCGUCAACCGCCAGCACCAGGGCCAGCAGGACGCGACAGGGCUAACAGAGCUACAACCCGCGAUGAAGCCUACCGGGGUCCAGCUGGAAGGCUGCUGGAGCAGCCGGAGGCACCACCUCCACCCCUGCUCCCAACUCCCUAGCAAAUCACCUUGCCGGAGAGGAGGUGCAUAUGAAGAUGUUGCUGCCGCCGCCUGACGGUGACGGUCUGGCUGAUGCUCAGCCGGAGUCAGAGGCGUCGCCCUCCCGGUCGGUGCCAUCAUCAUCGCCAUCAUUGUCCUCCUUGUCGCUAUCACUCGAGGAGGAGCUUUUGUCAUCGGUCGAGCUCUCCGCACAACACCCUAAGCGAGCACCCGAGCUCCCAAAAACUUUGACGAAAAGGAAACCGUCCUCCAUUAACUUAAAAUGGAGGAUGUGCCCUUCCGACAAGCUAUGGGCACGAGCAAAAGUCUUCCAGCCUUUACGGAAGUACAUGACGUGAGGGGCAGGGAAAUCUACAUCCACCAGUAUGUUGGGGAAUGUAGUAUUUAAAAUUUUUUCCUACGAUCACGCAAGAUCUAUCUAGGAGAUGCAUAGCAACGAGCGGGGAGAGUGUGUCUACGUACCCUUGUAGACCGAAAGCGGAAGCGUUUAGUAACGCGGUUGAUGUAGUCGAACGUCUUCAAGAUCUAACCGAUCAAGUACCGAACGUAGGCACCUCCGCGAUCUGCACACGUUCAGCUCAGUGACGUCCCUCGAACUCUAGAUCCAUCUGAGGCCGAGGGACAGUUUCAUUAGCAUGACAGCAUGGUGAUGAUGAUGAAGUUACUGACGCAGGGCUUCGCCUAAGCACUACAACAAUAUGACCGAGGUGGAAAUCUGUGGAGGGGGGCACCGCACAUGGCUAAGAAAUCAACUUGUGUGUCUAUGGGGUGCCCCCCUCCCCUGUAUAUAAAGGAGGGGAGGAGGAGGAGGGCCGGCCUCAAGGGGAGCGCCCAAAGGGGGGAUUCCUACUCCUAGUAGGAGUAGGUUUCCCCCUUUCCUAGUCCAUGCAGGAGAAGGAAGGAGAGGAGAGGGAGGAGGAAAGAGGGGGGGCGCUGCCCCCUCGCUAGUCCAAUUCGGACCAGCCCAUGGGGGAGGGGGCGGCCACCCGUCGAGGCCCUUCUCUCCUUUCCCGUAUGGCCCAUUAAGGCGCACUACUUCCUCCGGCGAAUUCCUGUAACUCUCCGGUACUCCGAAAAAUACCCGGAUCACUCGGAACCUUUCCGAUAUCUGAAUAUAUCCUUCCAAUAUAUCGAUCUUUAUGUCUUGAUCAUUCGAGACUCCUCGUCAUGUCCGUGAUCUCAUCCGGGACUCCGAACAACCUUCGGUACAUCAAAUCACAUAACUCAUAAUACAAAUCGUCAUUGAACGUUAAGCGUGCGGACCCUACGGGUUCGAAAACUAUGUAGACAUGACCGAGACACAUCUCUGGUCAAUAACCAAUAGCGGAACCUCUAAGGAUAAUUUUGACCGCUAUCCAGUGAUCUACUCCUAGAUCACUAUUGUACUCCCUUGCCAAAAUCAUGCUAAGGUAUACAAUUGGUCUAGUACACAGCAUAGCAUACUUUAUAGAACCUAUGACUGAGGCAUAGGGAAGGACCUUUUCAUUCUCUUUCUAUUUUCUAUCGUGGUUGGGUUUUGAGUCUUUACUCAACUUCACAACUUGCAACACUGUCAAGAACUCCUUCUUUGACUGUUCCAUUUUGAACUACUUCAAAAACUUGUCAAGGUAUGUACUCAUUGAAAAAUUUAUCAAGCAUCUUGAUCUAUCUCUAUAGAUCUUGAUGCCCAAUAAGUAAGCAUCUUUACCGAGGUCUUUCAUUGAAAAAUUCUUAUUCAAGUAUCCUUUUAUGCUAUCCAGAAAUUUAGUAUCAUUUCCGAUCAACAAUAUGUCAUCCACAUAUAAUAUCAGAAAUGCUACAGAGCUCCCACUCACUUUCUUGUAAAUACAGGCUUCUCCAAAAGUGUAUAAAACUAUAUGCUUUGAUCAAUUCAUCAAAGCGCAUAUUUCCAACUCCGAGAUGCUUGCACCAGUCCAUAGAUGGAUCGCUGGAGCUUGCACACUUUGUUAACAUCUUUAGGAUUAGCAAAACCUUCUGGUUGCAUCAUAUACAACUCCUUUUUUAAUAAAUCCAUUAAGGAAUGUAGUUUUUAUAUCCAUUUGCUAGAUUUCAUAAUAUGCGACAACUGCUAACAUGAUUCAGAUAGACUUUUAAGCAUCGAUACGAGUGAGAAAAUCUCAUCGUUGUCAACACCUUGAACUUGUUGAAAACCUUUGCGAGAAUUCGAGCUUUGUAGAUAGUAACACUACUAUCAGCGUCCGUCUUCCUCUUGAAGAUCCAUUUAUUCUCAAUGGCUCACCGAUCAUCGGGCAAGUCAAUAAAAGUCCAUACUUUGUUCUUUAUACAUGGACCCCAUCUCAGAUUUCAUGGCCUCAAGCCAUUUUGCGGAAUCUAGGCUCAUCAUCCCUUCCUCAUAGUUCGUAGGUUCGUCAUGGUCAAGUAACAUGACCUCCAGAAUAGGAUUACCGUACCACUCUGGUGCGGAACAUACUCUGGUUGACCUACGAGGUUCGGUAGUAACUUGAUCCGAAGUUUCAUGAUCAUCAUCAUUAACUUCCUCACUAAUUGGUGUAGGCAUCACUGGAACUGAUUUCUAUGAUGAACUACUUUCCAAUUCAGGAGAAGGUGCAAUUACCUCAUCAAGUUAUACUUUCCUCCCACUCACUUCUUUCGAGAGAAACUCCUUGUCUAGAAAGGAUCCAUUUUAAGCAACAAAGAUCUUGCCUUCGGAUCUGCGAUAGAUGGUGUACCCAACAAUUUCUUUUGGGUAUCCUAUGAAGACACACUUCUCCGAUUUGGGUUUGAGGUUAUCAGGCUGAAUCUUUUUCACAUAAGCAUCGCAACCCCAAACUUUAAGAAAUGACAACUUAGGUUUCUUGCUAAACCACGGUUCAUAUGGUGUCAUCUCAACAGAUUUUUAGACCGUGCCCUAUUUAACGUGAAUGCAGUUGUCUCUAAUGCAUAACCCCAAAACGAAAGUGGUAAAUCGGUAAGAAACAUCAUAGAUCGCACCUUAUCUAAUAAAGUACGGUUAUGCCGUUCGGACACACCAUUACGCUGUGGUGUUCCAGGUGGCGUGAGUUGCGAAACUAUUCGACAUUGUUUAAAUUGAAGGCCAAACUCAUAAUUAAAAUAUUUCGUCUCCGCGAUCAGAUCGUAGAAACUUUAUUUUCUUGUUACGAUGAUUCUCCACUUCACUCUGAAAUUCUUUGAACUUUUCAAACAUUUCAGACUUUUGUUUCAUUAAGUAGAUAUACUAAUAUCUGCUCAAAUCAUCUGUGAAGGUCAGAAAAUAAUGAUACCCACCGUGAUCCUCAACACUCAUUGGACCGCAUACAUCGGUAUGUAUUAUUUCCAAUAAGUCAGUGGCUCUCUCCAUUGUUCCAGAGAACAGAGUCUUAAUCAUCUUGCCCAUGAGGCAUUGUUUGCAAGCAUCAAAUGAUUCAUAAUCAAGUGAUUCCAAAAGUGCAUCCGCAUGGAGUUUCUUCAUGUGCUUUACACCAAUAUGACCUAAACGGUAGUGCCACAAGUAUGUUGCACUAUCAUUAUCAACUUUUCAUAUUUUGGCAUCAAUAUUAUGAAUAUGUGUAUCACUACGAUCGAGAUUCAAUAAACCAUCAAUAUUAAGUGUAUGACCAUAGAAGGUUUAUUCAUGUAAACAGAACAACAAUUAUUCUUUGACUUAAAUGAAUAACCGUGUGGCAAUAAAAAUGAUCCAAUCAUAUUCAUGCUCAACGCAAACACCAAAUAACAUUUAUUUUAGGUUCAACACUAAUCCCGAAGGUAAAAGGAGUGGGUGAUGGUGAUCUUAUCAACCUUGGAAUCAUUUCCUACACACAUCGUCACCUUGCCCUUAACAAGUCUCUCUUCAUUUUGCAACUCCUGUUUCGAGUUACUAAUCUUUGCAACUGAACUGGUAUCAAAUACCCUGGGGUUACUAUGAACACUAGUAAAGUACACAUUAAUAACAUUUAUAUCAAAUAUACUUUUGUUCACUUUGCCAUCCUUCUUAUCCGCCAAGUAUUUGGGGUAGUUCCGCUUCCAGUGACCAUUCCCUAUGCAGUACAAGCACUUAGUUUCAGGCUUAGGUCUAGCUUUGGGCUUCUUCACGGGAGUGGCAACUUGCUUGCCAUUCUUUUCAAAGUUUCCUUUCUUUCCCUUGCCCUUUUACUUGAAACUAGUGAUCUUGUCAACCAUCAAAACUUGAUGCUUUUUCUUGAUUUCUACCUUCACCAAUUUCAGCAUCGCGAAGAGCUUGGGAAUCGUUUCCGUUAUCCCUUGCAAGUUAUAGUUCAUCACGAAGUUCUAGUAACUUGGUGAUAGUGACUAGAGAACUCUGUCAAUCACUAUCUUAUCUGGAAGAUUAACUCCCACUUGAUUCAAGUGAUUGUAGUACUCAGACAUUCUGAGCACAUGCUCACUAGCUGAGCUAUUCUCCUCUAUCUUGUAGGCAAAGUACUUGUCAGAGGUAUCAUACCUCUCGACUCAGUCAUGAGUCUGAAAUACCAAUUUCAGCUCUUGGAACAUCUUAUAUGCUCUGUGGCAUUAAAAGCGUCUUUGAAGUCUCGGUUCUAAGCCGUAAAGCAUGGCACACUAAACUAUCAAGUAGUCAUCAUACGGAGCUUGCCAAACAUUCAUAACGUCUGCAUCUGCUCCUCCAAUAGGUCCGUCACCUAGCGGUGCAUCAAGACAUAAUUCUUCUGUACAGCAAUGAGGAUAAUCCUCAGAUCACGGAGCUAGUCCGCAUCAUUGCUACUAACAUCUUUCAACAUAGUUCUCUCUAGGGACAUAUCAUAAAUAAAACGGGGAAGCUAUAUGCGUGCAAUUGAUCUACAACAUAGAUAUGCAAAUACUAUCAGGACUAAGUUCAUGAUAAAUUUAAGUUCAAUUAAUCAUAUUACUUAAGAACUCCCACUUAGAUAGACAUCCCUCUAAUCAUCUAAGUGAUCACUUGAUCCAUAUCAACUAAACCAUGUCCAAUCAUCAUGUCAGAUGGAGUAGUUUUCAAUGGUGGACAACACUAUGUUGAUCAUAUCUACUAUAUGAUUCAUGCUCGACCCUGUCGGUCUCAGUGUUCCGAGGCCAUAUCUGCAUAUGCUAGGCUCAUCAAGUUUAACCCGAGUAUUCUAUGUGUGCAAAACUGGCUUGCACCUAUUGUAUGUGAACGUAGAGCUUAUCACACCCGAUCAUCACGUGGUGUCUCGGCACGACGAACUGUUGCAAUGGUGCAUACUCAGGGAGAACACUUGUACCUUUAAAUUUAGUGAUAGAUCAACUUAUAAUGCUACCACCGUACUAAGCAAAAUAAGAUGCAUAAAGGAUAAACAUCACAUGCAAUCAAUAUAAGUGAUAUGAUAUGGCCAUCAUCAUCUUGUGCCUUUGAUCUCCAUCUCCAAAGCACCGUCAUGAUCACCAUCGUCACCGGCUUGACACCUUGAUCUCCAUCAAAGCAUCAUUGUCGUCUUGCCAACUAUUGCUUCUACGACUAUCGCUACCGCUUAGUGAUAAAGUAAAGCAAUUACAUGGCGAUUACAUUUCAUACAAUAAAGCGACAACCAUAUGGCUCUUGCCAGUUGCCGAUAUCUGUGUUACAAAACAUGAUCAUCUCAUACAACAAUGUAUAUAAUCACGUCUUUGCCAUAUCACAUCACAACAUGCCCUCCAAAAACAAGUUAGACAUCCUCUACUUUGUUGUUGCAAGUUUUACGUGGCUGCUACGGGCUUAGAAAGAACCGUUCUUACCUACGCAUCAAAAACCACGAUGCGAUAUAGUGAUUGCUUUUUGAUCUUCAGAAAGAACCAUGUUCAUUGAAUCUGAUUCAACUAAAGUUGGAGAAACUAGCACCCGCCAGCCACCUGUGUGCAAAGCACGUUGGUAGAACCAGUCUCAUGAACGCGGUCAUGUAAUGUCGGUCUGGGCCGCUUCAUCCAACAAUACCGCCGAAUCAAGAAACAACUAGUGACAGCAAGCAAUAUGUAUAUACCCACGCCCAGAACUCCUUUGUGUUCUACUCACGCAUAUAACAUAUACGCAUAGACCUGGCUCGGAUGCCACUGUUUUGGAACACAGUAUUUCAAAAAAAUUCCUACGAUCACGCAAGAUCUAUCUAGGAGAUGCAUAGCAAUGAGCGGGGAGAGUGUGUCUGCGUACCCUUGUAGACCGAAAUGGGAAGUGUUUAGUAACGCGAUUGAUGUAGUCGAACGUCUUCACGAUCUAACCAAUCAAGUACCAAAUGCAUGACACCUCCGCAAUCUGCACACGUUUAGCUCGGUGACGUCCCUUGAACUCUAGAUCUAGCUGAGGUCGAAGGAGAGUUUCGUCAGCACAACAACGUGGUGACGGUGAUGAUGAAGUUACCAACGCAGGGCUUCACCUAAGCACUACGACAAUAUGACCGAGGUGGAAAUCUGUGGAGGGGGGCACCGCACAUGGCUAAGAAAUCAACUUGUGUGUCUAUGGGGUGCCCCCUCCCCCAUAUAUAAAGAAGGGGAGGAGGAGGAGGGCCAGCCUCAAGGGGAGUGCCCAAAGGGGGAUUCCUGCUCCUAGUAGGAGUAGGUUUCCCCCUUUCCUAGUCCAUGUAGGAGAAGAAGGAAGGAGAGGAGAGGGAGAAGGAAAGAGGGGGCGUCGCCCCCUCCCUAGUCCAAUUCGGACCAGCCCAUGGGGGCGGGGCGGCCACCCCUUGAGGCCCUUCUAUCCUUUCCCGUAUGGCCCAUUAAGGCCCACUACCUCCUCCGAUGAAUUCCCGUAACUCUCCGGUACUAUGAAAAAUACCCGAAUCACUCGAAACCUUUCCGAUAUCCGAAUAUAGCCUUCCAAUAUAUCGAUCUUUAUGUCUCGACCAUUUCAAGACUCCUCUUCAUGUCCGUUAUCUCAUCCGGGACUCCGAACAAUCUUCGGUACAUCAAAUCACAUAACUCAUAAUACAAAUCGUCAUCGAACAUUAAGCGUGCGGACCCUACAGAUUCGAGAACUAUGUAGACAUGCCCGCGACACAUCUCCGGUCAAUAACCAAUAGCGGAACCUGGAUGCUCAUAUUGGCUCCUAUAGAUUAUACGAAGAUCUUUAUCGGUCAAACCGCAUAAUAGCAUACGUUGUUCCCACUACAAAAAAAGACACAUCUGUGACAUUUUGGGCCGAACGAAAAUUUGUUCUGUCAUACUUAUGACACUUCUAUGACGAUAAUUGUGACAAACCCGGUAUCAUCAUAGAUGUGGUGGGGUCCUACUUCUAUGACAAAAAAUCAUGACAGAAAAUGGGCUUUUCAUCCUGGGCGGGCCGGAGACGCAGCUGCAUGACAUUCUUUGGGCCGUCCAUGACGGAAAAAACCAUGGUAGAAGCGAGGGCGAGGAAAAUAUCGAGGUGUUCCCGAUUACGGUGGGUGGUCGGGGCCGAGCGAUGCACAUUUCUCUCGUACACGCACGCGCGUGGGUGCGAGGCAUUGGGCUUUAACUGAACCCGAGCGAUUGCACUGCAGGCUACGUGUUAAUGAACACGAGUGAUUGAUUGAUGGUUGUUAACUGAACCCGAUCGAGCGAUUCCUUCGCUACUGCUGCUAACUGAAGCCGAUCAAUGCUGCCUCUGGAUGAACAGUGAGCGUUGCUGGGGGGUUUGGAUGAACAGUUCCUGGUGGGGGUGGAUGAACAUGACCCCGUGGUGUUGCCUCUGGAUGAACAUGACCCCGAUCGAUCGAGCCGGUUGGGGCUGGAUGAACAGGACCCUUUGGAGGGCAGGAUGAAUAGGACCACCCUGUGGAGGGCUGGAUGAACAGUAGAUGGUGGAGGGCUGGAUGAACAGUAGCCCGUGGAGGGGUGGUUGAACAGGAGCCCGUGGAGAGGGCCGGUUGAACAAUAGCCGAUGGAGUAGCGCACGGUGGAGGCUGGAUGAACAUGAGCCCAUGAAUGAACAGUCGCAGGUGGAGGCUGGAGGAGGUCGACGGUGGAUGAACAGUAGCCCGUGGAGGCUGGAGGGGGUCGACAGUGGAGACGAAUAGUAUCCCAUGGAGUCCCGUUUUAAGGUACGCCACACCCCUCCCGAUGAACAGGACCCCCAUUUCGACCAUAGCGCUCCAACACAAGUCUGUUUCCUCCGUUUUGCGGUACGACACACCCCUCCCGAUCAACAGGACCCCCAUUUCGACCGUAGGAGGUCCGUUUCCUCCGUUUUGCGGUACGCCAGACCCCUCCCGAUGAACAUGAUCCCGUUUCAACCAUGGCCGGUCGAAUACAAGGCUGUUUCCUUCGUUCUACGGUACGCCAGGCCUCAUUUCCAUCGGCUGUUCCGUCCAAGCCCUCCUGAUGAACACGACGACGCAUUUCGUUCCGACCCAGUCGGUUGGCUCCCCAUGAACACGACAACGACGCUAUUUCUCCAUUCCAACCCAGCCAUGUACACGAGCCCUGGCCGUACGUAUGCGCGAGUAGGCGUUCGAGACCCUGCCCGUGUGUACGUACGUGGCUGUAUUUUCUUUCUUGCACACUGGCCGCUGUAUGUACGUGUACAUGCUACGUGCACGCCUCUACUACGACACGUGCACGCCUCUACAUCGACCAGUAUGUACGUACAUGUUCGCGACCAGAAUGACAACGCUAUGUACACUUCGACCAGGUGGGUCCUGACUGUCAGUCACUUCCUUGCAUGCGAAGAUGUAGCUGGUGGGUCCCAGCAGUCAGGGGGCGAAUCGUUUUUUACCCGGACGCACUUCCUUGCGUGUGAAGAUGUAGCUGGUGGGUCCUAGCAGUUAGGGGGAAACGUUUUUUCGUGAAAUACGGUGGCCCGUCCAGUGGGUCCCUGCUGUCAGGUGGAGGAAUAAUUAUUUUGCGUGUAAUAAGGAGGCACUUCCUUGUUGCAACCAUGGACCCAGCUGUCAACCUCUCCAUAUACAGUCCACAUUCGAUGGAAGCCAUUCCUUGACCACGUUGACCACACCGCGCCGAGAGCACCAGGGUGGUGGACGAUGGCGAGGCCUAGGAAGGGGAUGACGCGGAGCCGGGGAAGACGCAUCAGUGGAAGCCCGCGCGGAGAGGAGUACGAGGGUUCACUGGUUUGGCUGCGAUGUGAGGAUGUCGUCGUUGCAGGGCCUAGCCAGCGGUGGGAAUAGUCGGGGGUGGUGAGGCCUCCACGACAGCACAGCCGGCCACGGGAGGCAGGAGCAUGCGACACGACCGGCGCUGCUUUGGGCGGCUGGAGCAAGUAGACCAGAGGUUGAAGAAGCACUAUGGCCGUUGGAUGGACAUCGUACGAUCACUGGAGGUAGAAUCAUUCAUAUUGACUAAGUUGACAAAGCACUCCGUCCCCGUCAACUUAGUAGGCCCACAAGUCAGCCUCCCACCAAGGUGGGUCCCAACUAGUAGGGGGAGUAUUCAUUUUUUUGUGCGUAAUAAGGAGGCACCUCCGGUGGGUCCGAGCUGACAGCGGGGGGAACAUUUUUUUUCAUGAAAUACGUUGGCCUAUCCGGUGGGUCCCAGCAGUCAGGGGGAAACGUUUUUUUCGCCAAAUACGGUGGGUCCCUGCUGUCAGGUGGAGGAAUAAUUAUUUUCCGUGUAAUAAGGAGGCACUUCCUUGUGGCUGCCGUGGACCCAGCUGUCAGCCUCUCCACGUACAGUACUCUUUCGAUGGAAGUCGUUCCUUGACCACAUUGACCACGCCGCGCUGAGAGCACCAGGGCGGUGGACGACGGCGAGGCCUAGGAAGGGGACGACGCGGAGCCGGGGAAGACGCGGCAGUGGAUGCCCACACAGAGAGGAGUACGAGGGUUCACUGGUUCGGCUGCGGUGUGAGGCUGCCGUCACUGCAAAAUAACAAGGGGUGUGGGUGAGUGGAGGGAUGCCCUGGCCAACGGUGGGAGUAGUAGGGCGGGGUGAGGCCUGCGCGGCAGCACAGCCGGCCACGGCAGGCAGGAGCAGGCGACACGACCGGUGCUGCUUUGGGCAGCUGGAGCAAGAAGACCAGAGGUUGAAGAAGCACGACGGCCGUUGGAUGGACAUCGUACAAUCACUGCAGCUAGGAUUGUUUGUAUUGACUAAGUUGACAACGCCCUUGGUAUGAGUCAACUUAGUAGGCCCAUAGGCCAGCUUCCGAAACGGUGCGCCCCAGAUGUCAGGGGGAGGAAUCAUUUUUUGGGCGGGUGAAGCUAGAAUAUCUGAGAUUGAAGAAGAAGCAAGGCAUCCGUUGGAUGGACAUCCAACGGCCACUGCUGCUAGAACCGUGUGUUGACUAUAAGUUGACAAAGCCUUGCAUACGCGUCAACUCUUUUUUUUCUGAGGGGAUGCAUCAACUUAGUAAGGCCACAAGUGUGUGGCAGAGAACUUAUAGCCCAUUUGAGAUUUGUAAGAAUGUGCAGCCAAUUUCUGAAUUCUAAUGGAAUUUCAUACAGCCCAUUUACAGUUUGUUAAAAGUACAACCCAUUUCAACCAACCGUCCAAAACAGAAUUCAAUAAAUUUCCCACAUUUUGAUGAGAUCCGAAAUAUUUUUAUCCUGAAAUUUCUAGUCAGAUUAAAUACAAUUUUAGUAUAAAUUUAUAUUACGUAAAAAUCCAACAAAACAUUGCACUCGCAACAAUUAAUGAAAUUAAAAUUUCCAAUAUCCAAAAAUAAUAAUUUAUAAAGUAAUUACGUGUUUGGUGCAUUUUUAUAGUUACUGCCCAGUUUUUAUAAUUACAUCCCAUUUAUUAUUUCUUAAAGCCCAUUUUCUUGUUAAGCCUAAUGCAUCCCUCCUAGGAAAGAUUUGUAGCCCAGCGGGGCGGAGAAUAACAACUUGACCUUGCCUGGGUAUUCCUAAAAAAAGUAUAGCUGGGCUAGCCAUUUUCAGCUUAAAAAAUUAAGAUCUGGGAUGGAUAUCUGGCCUGGGCUAGACGGGCCACAGCCCGCCAAGUUAAUAGCUGCAGCGAUGUUUUCGUUGUUGUUCAGAGGAGAAAAUAUAAUAUCUGGGCUAAACAUCGCUCAAGAAAAACUCUGCAGUGCUCACACCUCAAAAACACAAAUACUGCUCGAGCUGCUUGGUCCCAGCUGUCGGCCGCUUCUUGUGCAAUUCUCUCGUUUAUUGACUACAUAGGUUGACAAUGGUGUGGAACUGUGAUGUUAGGAAACCAGGAGGAAGCAAAAAAAUAUAGUUUUAUAUACUAAUAAGGAGGCACUUGCGUACGUGCGGCUAUGGCCCUGGUGGGUCCCCACUGUCAUCCUCUCAAGUAAAGUCAUCUCCUCAUCCUCAUGUCCGUUGACCAUGUUGACAACGCGAGACGGCGGCGCCACGGUGAGCGCAACAACUCGAAGGACGACGGAGAGGGCCUCGCGGGCCCUAUGGAUGGUCUGAUACAACGCCCGCUGCUCAUUCGGGAAGCCAGGAUCAUAGGGCCACAUGUCCGCGACGGCGUUGUCGUUUGCUUGUUCACCGGUGCUCAUUGAGGAGACGGAGGUUGUAGCACAGGUCCUCCUGUGCUGGUAGCUCUUCCGCCAUUAGGGCGUCAAAGUGCGGCCGCACCUGCUCUAUGGUGAACACGGCAUGAACCCGCUUGGACAGUGGUGCCGGCUCCUGGUCGGAAGCUACGUCCAUCGUCUGAUUGUCGUUGCUCAGCUCGGCGAGGUAGCUGGUGAGCCAGCAUGUCCGGCUGCUGGACCGAUCCCCUGCCAAGCACGAGUCUGACUGCCCUGGCCCACCCAGACCGCCUCCCUCACCCGCGCGUGCUUUCUGCUUGAAACGGUCCGUGCCGCCCGCCCCGCUUCCCAGUGCAUGCGAUUGCUCCGCCUUCAAACGACACAAUGCUAUCCGUCCGUCCUUAUGGCACCCACAUUAAUGAUACGCGGUUGCCGAGGCGGCUACUCCGGCGCCACACGUCCGUCCCUCCGCCGCCCACCAUUGCUAUAUAAAUUGCUGCGCCGGCCAUAGCCGCAGUCAUGCGCAUCCGUUCCUAUUCUCCUGUCCACACCACUACUGACCACCAUGGCUUCCUCGCGCUCCAGCGCUCUUUGGGACGGGCGGACGAUGGACCACAAGUAGAUGGCAGCCAUUGCUGCCAACUGGCUGGCCGACAGGCAGCCGGAGGACGACGACGUCCUAAUGGAGAACACGGUAGUCGACAAUCCGGCGCCAACCCCCUCCUCCGCGCCAUCCUCGCUGGUGCAUUGCACCAUGACCAUCGGCGAGGCCCAUGCCCAAUAUAUGGACACGGUGAAGCAAAAGCGUGAGGAGCAGUUCCGGGAGGCGCAGGCCGACACCACCUACAACCACCAUCUCCUCCAGGAGCACCUGCAGGUGGCGGAGCAGAUCGCCGCGGAGCAGGCGGAGCAGGAGGUGCUACUCGACUUGUACCACUCCGCCCGCGAGCGAGGGCCGCCUCGAGCGCUGGCGGUACUGCAUGCGGGUGGCGGUGGUUGCAACCUCCUACAAAGAGGGCGAUGAAGCGUUCGAGGCACUGUUUGGCGAGACCAGGGACGAGGCAGAGGACAAUGCCGGCGCCGACGAGUCCCCGCUCCGCUGGCGUCAACGAGGCCCUACUCCGCCGAGGCCCCGCGGUGCCAACAACGAGGUAGAGGACACCGCCGGCUCUGCCGAGGCCCCACCCUACCGGCAACGAGGGGGAGGAUUUCCCCCGCUCCGCCGAGGCACCGCCCGCCGGCAAUGAGACAUAGGACAUCGCCGGCUCCACCGAGGCCCCGCCCUACUGCCAACGAGGCCGCGCCACACAAAAAACGAGGAAGAGUAGAACACGGUAGGUCGCCGCCGCUCGGGUCCAAGUAAGGCCACCGCUGCUACCCUCCGAUUGCUGGCACUGAGCUGUACAUCAUGGAGCAAUUCUAUGAUUACAGGAUGAUUGAAGAGCGCUCCGUGGUUGAGCAAGCUCAUGAGAUACAAUCAUUUGCUAGAGAACUUGAGCACUUCAGUUGUAUGCUACCGGACAAGUUUGUUGCCGGAGGUAUCAUCACUAAGCUUCCUCCUUCAUGGAUCUCAUGGGCACUCUUGAUGUGGAAGAAAAGGCGAGAACAAAGGACACACGUGCUCGAGGAAUUGAGGGAGGAUCUAGUGCCAAUCCGGUACAGAAGAAGAACUUCCAGCCCCACAAGUUCAAGAACAAGGGCAAGUUUGAUGGUAAAGCAAAGUUUGAUGGGAAGAACAAGGUUGUGCAACACACGAACUUCAAGAAGAAGAAUGACAAGAAGAAAUGUGUUUGUCAUCUGGGGAUCCUGAUCAUUGGGCUCCUAGUUGCCCUAAUCGCUAUGACAAGCUAGGCGGGUUGACCACUGACGGCCGGUUAGCUUCUUGGCGGCGACAUGGAGUCGGAGAGCUAUUUUGGAGAAGGACGUUGCUUCUACUUAACUGCUGGUGCAGUUGGCUGACUGACACGUGGGCCCAAUAGGCAUCUGGGCCACAUAUCAGUUACGCAACUGCACCUACAGUUAAGUCACUAUAGCUUUUGUUCGGCUCAGCCGGACACAGGUGGGUUGCUUCAGUUAAUUAAUUAUACCUCCAAUUUAUUUCGAUUAGUUCAAAUUCUUGUAUCACUGGCAUUGGAUGAACAUGCAAAACAAUACGUACUAGCAUUAUUCCCAGGGUGAUCACCUCGUUUGCAGCAGUUUCACAUGUACUCCCUCCGGCCCUUUCUAGUCUGCAUACAAGUUUUGUCUGCAGUCAAAGUAUCUCUACUUUGAUCAAUCUUAUAGAAAAAAGUAUGCACUUUCACAAUGUGCAAAGUAAAAAGGAACAUAAGGAGUACAAAGAGUUUGAGGAGCUUUUUAGCGUUCCUGUACAUUGCAAUCAAACACACAUGCCUGGCAAUUCAUAGAGAACAUCACAAUCAAUGAUUAUGCAUCUCAGCGAUUCACAUGUCAGAGCCAAUAUUUACUUCACAACUAAAGAAUAAAUAAAAAAAUGGAUCGACGCUGCUGACAGCAAAGGGCGUCCCAUUCGAAAAUAUCAAACGCAUGUCUUCUUGCUAAAAUCAAUGAGCAAAAUUUGACAAGGUUUUCCCAUUCCAAAAUAUCAAAUGCCUAUGAUUGUGGAAUGGGCAGGGUUUGCCAUCAGUUCGGACAUUGACAUGGCACCUCGUGCUAAAUAAACCAGUUGUUCUUUUUGUGCAGUUCCACCAAAAUCAACCAAAUCCGCGCGUAGCUUGUAUGAUUUCUCCCUUAUAUGUUGCAACGCCUUGAACUUAUCGGCACCUCCUUUCUUGUGGUCGAAAUGAAUGAUUCGAUGUAUUCAUGAAAAUUUUGUGCAGUUCCCAUUGAAAUCAAGCUGAGCACCCUUGUUUGCACAAAUACAAAAAAAGUGAUUAGUAUAAAGCAAACUGUACUAUGAGUUGACAGUUUAAACACACACCUACAUGGUCCAUGUAGAGCACACUUUUAGAAAAAUGGAACUCACCAGAAAGAAUCCUAGAACAACAUUGUACUCACGCAUCACAGCAAGAAAAUGGAGAUUUCUCAGUCCUUCUAAGUUGAAGUUAGUUUGGUCUUGUGGGGGGGGGGGUAAUGUAACCAUCCUUCAACUACUCCUUAUGAUGAGAAGAUAGACAGGGCUUCUUCAUACUGGCAUAAUCGGAACUAGUCACUUCACGUACUACAUAUUCUUCUUCAGAGGAGGAUGAUCCUGUUCUGCAAAGACAAGAGGAUAACUAAGUGCUAGCAUCCCUGUUUGCUCAAAAAAGGAAAGGAAAUACUUAAAAUAGCACAGCUGAAGCACUUAUCAAGGACAAUACCACUAUUUGAUGACAGUAUCUAAACAGUAGCACAACACCAAUAGAGAUGACAAAGCUCAAUCAUAUGGAUGAAAUCAGUGGGCGAGUACCAACCUUUGUCAGGAGGCUUAUUGUGUAGAGCAUACAGAUAAAGCACUUCUCCGGAACCAUCUGUUGCUAUCUACUGUAGUGGCCAUGCUUACUAUAUACUCCUCGAUUAGAUUAAUGUUUCCAACAUCUUCUUGUGCAGUUCCACUAAAAUAUAUGGUAUCUUCAAAGAAGAUCCUUGUUUGCACAAGUAGAGAUAAUUACGUAUUACAUUAAGAGUGGCAUCAAAUUAGUGGCAAAACAAUUUCUCGUUCUAGCCAUAGCAAUAAAUUAAGAUGCAAAACUAUAUCAUUACUUGUGUCAUCACAGUUCUAGUGCUUCAUUAUAGCACCAGGAGUUGAUUUUUGUUUUUCUUCUGCUUGCUCUUCCCCUUCAUCACUUGGUUCAAUAACAGACAAGCUUCGCUUUCAAUGUAAGAUUUGGCAUGUCAAUUAGGUUGCACAAGUAUAUCACUAAACAAUGACAUUAAUUUUUUGAUGAAAGUGGCAAAAUACAGGCCAACAGUUGUGAAAUAUCCUUAUCUUACCUCAAUGGGAUAUUGCAGUGCACAUACAGAUUGGAAGUCUUGUCUCCAUUUGUGCAGCUCACUAAAAUCAAGCAACAUUACCGUAAAAGUAGCACAACAUAUGAAAGCACACUGCAGAAUCAUGUGAAAGAAGGCUAGUACUGACCUCUCAUGACGUGGAAUUCAAACAACUCACAAGAAGAAGAUCUGAACCAAAUUUGCCAACAUGGAUAGGAAGUAAGAUCUCCUCUUGUGCAGUUCCACUAAGAUCAAGCAAUGAAGCAACAUUGUUGGUGUGACACUUUGGUUGAACUGCACAAAACACUCUUAAAACAAAAGUGUUUUGUGCAGUGCAACAAAACGUCACAAUGGCAACGAGGUGAAGUAGAUAACCCUGUUUACACAGAGGUGCAAAGGAAACAACUAGUGGUCAAUAACGAUGGAUGACACAGAAGCCAACAAAAAGAAGCAUCUACCUUAUCUAAAUAGGAAAGAAAGCAAGACAGUAGCAUUUCUCAAACGAUGGCAUUUAUUAAUAUUAACAGAGAGUUUAUAUUAACAAUAAAAUUCAUUAAACAUGUAAUUUGCUUUUAACUGUGGCAUUGCAUCAAUUUUCAAGUGGCAUUAUUAGAGGGUGCUUGUUUACAGGGACAUUUUGGUGGAGGGACUAAAAAACUCCGUGCCAUUCCCAUCUAAACCAAACAGGAGGGACUUUUAGGGACUAAAAGUGGGCAUUUGGGACUAAAGAAAGAAGACCCCGAGGGAGAGUCUUUUUGGGACUUUUUCCAAUAGUUGCCCCUGCUACGCAUCGCACCUUGUCUCUAUUAGUUCAUUACUAGGGGUAACAUGGUCUUUUAGCAUGUCAUUUAAUAGCCUCUAGUCCAUGUUUAGUCCCUGGAACCAAGCAGGUAGGGACUAGGGAGUUUUUAACCAAACAGGGCCUUAGAUUAACAACAACUAAAGACAUGCAUGGGACAGUGGACGCACCAGCACCAUGUGCAUCUACCGAUGUACUGGGGUGAUGCACAGUCUGUUGCAACAAAGAACAAACAACCAAGGAGCAUAUUUGUGUUGGUCCCAGUUUUGUUAUCUUUAGACACCUUUCCCUAUGUGAGCGCAGCAAAUCUAGUCCUACUCAAACUCUACAGCCUUGUCCCCCAAAACAAAAGACCAGUUCGUUACAAAUGUGCGUACUGCGUUUGUCAUUGUUUUCCCUUUUCGACCAACGUAGGUGUUGGAUAGCCAGUCUGCACUAGUACUUUCCCCACUUCCUUUCCUUUGUGAACCACAUCCUAGAUUUAUGCUAUACAACUUUCCCCACUAGUUUCCCCCAUUCCUCUCCUCUUUGAACCACGUCUUAGAUUCAUGCAAUACAACUUUCCCCCUUCCUUUCCUUUUUGAACCAUGUCCUAGAUUCAUGCUAUACAACUUUUCCCACUACUUUCCCCCAUUCCUUUCCUCUUUGAACCAUGUCCUAGAUUCAUGGUAUAGAACUUUCCCCACUACUUUCUUGUUUGAUACAAUACCUAGAUUCGAGUGCAGAAGCGGAAAAAGCCCACAUGCAGCUAGAGCAAUGCAUGUGGAAUAAGUAAAUUAUACCUUAACGUUCUUGGGGUGUGGUUUAGUGGGUGACCGGGGGCCGUUUGACCCACACUAUGUACGGCGGUGAAGAAGAAGGGGUCGGAGGCCCUCCCGCGCCGCCGCUGGGUGAAAGUGAACAGCUGCGCCGGUAGUGGAUUCCCUCCCUCGCUGACGGCGACAGCGUUAAGCCUCCUUCCCUUCUCGGCGGACAGAUCCUGCCGGCUCUUUGACAAGAAGUGAGGGGAGAGAGAGAUGCCAACAAAGUCUUGUUUAGAUCUAGAGAGAGUGAGAGAGUGUGAAGAGAGCAACUACAAGCAGACCGGCAGUGAGGGGAGAGAGAGAGGCCAACGAAGUUUUGUUUAGAUCUGGAGAGGGUAAGAGAGUGUGAAGAGAACAACUACAAGCGCUGAGGCUCCAACGUGUAUAUAUAUACCGGAGAGAGUGUGAAGAGUGCAAACCCUAGAAAACAAGCGUCGAGGCUGCAGCUUAUACGUGAUGAGGUGAUUAUACGGUCACUACGAGAUCAUAUAGCUCCGUAUCCAUCCAUUUUGACCAGUCAAAGAAUCCUCCUGGCACGAAUUAUGCUCAAGUGUAGCUAUCGAACCCGAGACCUCAUGUUUGAUGAGCAAACAGGCUAACCAGCUACACAACCCUCCCGUUAUGUUCAAUGAGAGGAAAAUAACCUUUUAUACAUUCCUGCAUUCGUGUGACGAGCAUGUCGUGUUUUUGUGUGUGUGGGAGUCAUUGGGAUUUAAAUCAUAAUCGUGUCAUGUGGCUUUGGUGGUAAGACUAUCCACAAUGGUGCAGAAAUAAUGCAGCCUUAGUCACCUUACCUCUCUCCACGUAGUACGUUGGGUCCGACCAGUCAGAGGGUGAAACAAACAAAUUAAUAAGAAAAAUUAAAAGCGCCAGUGGUGUAUCUUACCUCACACAUCUUGCUACUGCUCGGGAGCACUGUCCAAUUGAUCCCUCUAUUUGCUCACGUACUAUUUUAAGUGAAUCCUUAUUAUAACAUGCACACAAUUUUGGGCACUUGUAUUCGACCUAAGUCAGUGUGCCAUCGUAUCUCGUACGACUCCCUCCGUCUAGGUGUAAUAAGUCACGUUAGAAGGUGCAGCGGGACCAAGGUGCAAGCAGAUUGGAGGAGAAGGAGAAACUUGACCGGUCAUUCCUCAAAUCAAAGCCCUGAUUUCUAUCUCUAAACGCAACAAUUAAUCCAAACAACUAAGAGAUGCCGUUUUAGCUACCAUGCAGGGCCACGUAUUAACUCGCAUGCAAGUCGACUUUGAUUUCUUGACUGAUUAACGCGUAGUUGCGCUCCAUGCAUUGGGUUUCCGGGGAAAUAACAAGACAGAGUAAGGAGUGUUUGGUUACAUUGCUUAGGAUGGUCAUAGUGGUGAGUAACUUGGACUACAACAUGCAUAUGUUACUAGUCUAUGUUACUACUACACGAAGUUUGCCGUCGGAAGUGAGCCGAUCUGGCUCUCCUGAGCUAGCAAGGUUUUUCUAGCCCACCCAAGCUAGUUGGCCCACAAAAGCUAACAUAUUUUAAUAGUUCCAAACGCCUAACCUUGCCCGGCUAUGCUAUAAGCUAUUCUUGCUAAGGAUCCAAACGCUCCCUAAGUAACAGCGCUCGCUAGCAACGAGGCCAGGAUGGGAUUGAGAUGCAAAGUUAAUGGACAACGCCUAAACAUUUUAGGAAUAUCUGAUUUCUGUAGGAUGACUUAACACCUAGACGGAGAGAGUACUAAUCCUCAGUCCAGGUUUGAUGUAAUAUUCGUCACCUCUUCUCUUCUUGUACGUACUCCAUUUGUAUCUCACUUCCCGUGGCUUCGCACUCGCACGAUUUUCCUAUUCUAUGAACCUGUGUGUGCGUGUGCGUGUGCGUGUGUGUGUUUAACAACAUGUGUGUGUGUUAGAGAGAGCAACAGAUCGACCUACUCCUGCAGAGAGAUGGUGUGUAGUGUACGAUUUUAGCCGCGAGAGUCGGUGCAUCCUCUCAUUUUCGGGCGUCCGGUAGGGAGAGGAAGACAACUGCCACGCCCGCUCCUAACCAGCCUGGCCCACGCAAAGCCCCUCCAUCGCCCGCGCGCGCUUCCCGCCUGAAACGGUGCCGCAUUCAUGCCCGGGCAGAGCCGACGUGAGCUAUCACUGGCGCCUGCGUUGAAGGGAGAAGCGGAUUCAAGAGUGAUGGUUGCUUCGUCCGUCCAACUUACUGCUGGGUCUAUGUGAUUUGAUGGCUCAUUGGUCAUUAUUACUGAGGUGGUAGGAAAGCUGGAUGUCCCACUCUUUCGGCGAAAGGAGGUACUACUAGAUUACAAUUUUCUCCAUUCUUACUGCCGAGGAGUGCAAGAGCAGUGAAAACACGCAUGCUCAGUUAUUACAUGGCCCACCUCACACUACAACUUUAUUUAUAAAUGACACGGCACCUACUACUCAUUCUCCUAUAAACCUUGUGCUUGGCAUCUCCAAACUAUUAACCUUGCAAUUGGCUCUUUGCCUCUUCGAGAAGUCGAGAAAUAAUGGUACUGCAGUAUAUAUCGUUCUCGCUAUAUGAGACCGAAUGAAUUGCUGCACGUCCACCACGCGGCGAGGGUCGAGGGGCGAGGGAGAGUGUGUACCAUUACAUCCGUUUCAAUAUGGAUUACAUACAGAGCAAAAUGAGUGAAUCUACACUCUAAAAUACGUCUAUAUACAUCCGUGUUUGGAGUAUGUACUAGUAGUUCAUAUUGAAAUCCACUAAAGGACAUAUAUUCCAAACAAUAUGAUAAUCUCUCUAACCAAGGUAGGGACGAGGAGUAAACGGAGGGAGUACUAGUAAAAUUUUCUCCUCGUCCUGCGAGCCACCGCGCGCGUGGGCGAGGGAGCGGGCGUAAGGCGUAGUAAGCAAGCUUCACCUCAUCCUGUGAGCCACCGCGCCCGUGGGCGGGGGAGACGGUGUACAAGCAAGCUUCUCCUUGUUCUGCGAGUUGACGGGACACAUUGAAAGUACUCCAGUGUAUACAGCCUUGCCUCUAAGGUAGGCCCCACAUGGUUUUCCUCUUUUUUUUAACAUAACGCGUCAAGUCGCAAUUUGUUUGUUCACCCAUGGUAGAUGAUCCUCCCUCCAUCUAGUGGACAACCAGUACACAUGUCAAAUUACCACGUGGGCUGCCUUUUCGUACAGAAAUGAGCUCCACCGUCUACCCGCACGGGUGUGGUUGGGAAAGAGACGGCAGUAUGUGCGCCAUGUGUGAACCUCUUCUCUUCGUGCACGUCCCCCACCUACGUGGGUGUGUGUGAUAGAUACAAACCUAGACAAAUGGCUUGUGCGUUCAUGAGUGUUUUUUGUUUGGGUGGGGGGAGGCUGAUUUCAUGAAUGUAUUUGUGGGAAUAUGUGUCGAUGACAUAUCAAACAUAAUUUUGCAUGCAAUGUGUGUGAAAUGGAGGCCUAUCCAUAUCAUGUAUAGAGGGUCAGGCGAUCCACGAGAAGAGACGGAGGGGUCAUAGAUAUUGAUAGAGUCAAAGAGAGGAUCAAGUGGGUGGGUGCGAGAUCGAUGAAGAGAGCCAUUGAAAUUGUGUGUGUGUGUGCAAGUCAAAGAUAUAGGGCGACUGACCUAGCUACCGGAAUGUCAGACGGCGCAUGUCAAGUUUGUGUGUGGCAGGGAGACAGGAAUAGAGCACUCGAUGUAUUAGUGUGUGUGUGUGGUAGGGAGUGGAGGGAGGGGUAGGCAGAUGCCUAACUAUAGAGGUAGAACGACUCGUAUAUGUGUUGAGAAGGAGAGACCCAGCUAUGUCUUGAGGGAGAUCGGUCGACAUCCAUAUAUAACUGAAGGAUGGGAAAUAGGAUGGGACAGAGAGAGAGGAGAGAGAGGGAGGGAGGGAGAGGCGUAGAGUGCUGGAUGGGUGAUGGAGUUGCUUCUCGAAGAUGGUGGGAGAGGCCUACUAGACAAACUGAGGGUGGAACUUCAAUAUUAUCAAUAAGAGUGGGGAUGUGUUUCUGUGUGUGCCUGUGCGUGAUAGAUCUGUCGGGACACAUCCAUGGAUGAUGAAGGGGAACCAUGUGUUUGGUAAGCAAACCUAACUAGAUCGAUAGAUCAAUUGUUGUUUGUCGGAGGAAGGGAGAGACAUAACUAAUGAGGUAGAUCUAUCGAAGCGUGGGGGAAAACGAGUUAUAAGGACCUAGCUAGCUAUAUGUAUAGAGGGAGAUCGGUCAGUGUACGUCCAUUUGUUAGAGGCAAAUAAGGCCCGGCGAGACGGAUAGACAGAGAGAUUCGAGCUGCGAGGUGGUGCAAGAGGCCCAACUACUAGCUAGUUCGGGGGAGGAGUGUUCGGUUGUGAGAUCGAUGUAAAGAGGGUGAGAGUUUACACGUGUGUGGGACCGUAUGAGAGACACGAGGCAAGAACACAUAAAGGAGGAGAUUGAAGGUGCGUGUGUAUGUUGUAGGCAGACAUCGCUAGAGAGGUUUAUCGAUCGGUGUGUGUCGGAAAGGAGUUGUGGAGACUGUGGGAGAACGACCUGAAGAAAAAAAAA
rnacentral:lncRNA from 1 species